rnacentral:lncRNA from 1 species
UUUUUUUUCGUGAAAUACAGUGGCCCGUCUGGUGGGUCCCAGCAGUCAGGGGGAAACGUUUUGUCGCAAAAUACGGUGGCCUGUCCAGUGGGUCCCUGCUGUCAGGUGGAGGAAUCACUAUUUUCCGCGUAAUAAGGAGGCGCUUCCUUGCUGCGGCCGUGGACCCAACUGUCAGCCUCUCCACGUACAGUACACUUCCGAUGGAAGUCGUUCCUUGACCACGUUGACCAUACCACGUUAUGUUGGAUGCAUGCGUCCAUGGGCGUGGUGUGUCCCCACUAUCAGCCUCUCACGUACAGUCAUCUUCCGAUGACUCUCAGAUGUUGACCACACCGUGCCGAGCGCACCAAGGCCGGUGGACGAGGGCGAGGCCCUAGACUGGAACGACCCAGAGAUGGGGAAGACGGGGCAGUGGAGUCAUAGAUGGAGAGGAGUGGGAAACUUGACUGGUUUGGGUGCACGGCAGCACAGCCGCGGUGCCACCCAUGGGAGACAGGAGCAAGAACAGAGGCUGUUGGAUUAACAUCCAAUGGUCCAGCUGCUAAAAUCAUUUGUUGAUUAAGUUGACAAAGCCCUACGUACACGUCCUCUUAGUAGGCCCACAAGUCAACCACCAAAUCUGACGGGUCCCAGCUGUCAACGGGAGGAAUAAUUUUUUUCGCAUAACAAGGAGGCACUUCCUUCCAUGCGAAGAUACAGCCGGUGGGUCCCAGCUGUCAGGUGGAGGAAACAUUUUUUUCAGCUUAAUAAGGAGGAACUUUCCUUGCGUGCGACCAUGGACCUCGUGGGUCCCAGCCGCCAGGCUCUCCACGUACAGUCCUCUUCCGAUGACUCUCGUUUGUUGACCACGCCGCACCGAGCACAGCGAGGCGGUGGACGAUGACGAGGCCCCGGAUGGGAACAACUCAGAGAUGGGAAGACGCGGCAGUGGAGUCGCAGAUUGAGAGGAGGAGAAGGGUUAUAACUGGUUCUGGUGCGGCGUGGGGCUGCAGUCGGUGGAGAAUAACAGGAGGUGUGGAGGGGUGGAGGGAUAGCCUGGCCGGCGGUGGGGUAGCGCUUCGCAGUGAUGCGUGCUAAGUAGACCCGCUAGCUGCCGGAGGCCGGACCAGGCGGUCCCGGCGAUGCUGGAGGAAGAAGACGAGAGAUUGAAGGUGCAUGCCGGCCGUUGGAUAUAAAUCCAAUGGCUGUGGAUGUCAUAAUCAUUUGUUGACCAAGUUGACAACGCCCUACGUAGGCUUUGACCUAUUGGCCCACACGUCAGCCUGCAAAAAUGUGGCAUAUAUUUUAACCCAUGUUUUGUAGAAUGUAUAGUCCAUUUGCUGGGCUGGGUGAAUAAAUAAUUUCGCGUCAAUGCGGCCCAUUUAUAUUUUCUAAGAAAUCCCAGCCCAUUUGCACUUCCUUGAAAUACAUGAAUUAGCUGGGCUCGUUAUAUAUAUAAUGUUAUGUUAGAAGGAGCAAUUAAUAUCAAAAAAUAAACCAGAGAGGCACAUUAUAUAUAUAUAUAACAAAUUAGCGAGUUCUUGCUCAAAAUAAAAAUAAGUGCGUUAUUAUUACAUUGGUCCUUAAAAUCUUCGCAAGCUAUUGUACGCAAUCACCAGGAUUUUCCUUGCCUGUGAGUCAAAAACAACCAGGAUUUUCCUUGCCAACUUCUGUUAAACAUUUAUUUUUAUAAGUUAAUAACACGUGGGAUGUUUUUAUAAUGUAUAUAUAAGUCUCUAUAAAAUAUACGAUAAUAGUAAUAAUAUAAAUAUAUAUAAUGUGGUUAGAAGGGAAAACAUAAAUUGGACACAACAUUAUUAUUAUUAUAUAUAGAUAAAUAGAACAGAGACCUGCGUUUUAUUAAAAAAAUACAUUGGGCUGCCAAUAUUUAAGAAAAAGCCCAUAGGCCGGUAUGGACCUCAAAAAAUAAGUUGAAACCACUAUCUCCGUAUGUCGUGGUCUACACAUGUUAAAAUACAAAAUCUAAGCCUAGCUGAUACUUGUUCGCCCUCUGGAAAAAAAUGAUACCAGAUCCCUGAGCGAACUGGAUUAAAGAGGGGGCCGGCGGCAUGACUGAAGAAGCACAUCAGGAGAUAUUUUUUUCUUUAGUGGAUGGCUCUCGAUGGCGUUUUUACUUGCCUCUGCACCAUUACAACUUGUAUUUUUAGCCUCCUAGUCCGUGGUGGACCAGCAGCCCAUUUGCUGGGCGGGCCAACCUAUAGAAACCAGCACUCAAUUUUUCAUCAAGCCCCAAAAACAACGCAGUACUAUGUUUGUUUUGAGGCCGAAAACAUUACGACAGGGGUUGAGUGGGGGAGGGGGGAAGAUAGAGCAAAAAGAUUAAAAAGAGCUGAUGCACCGUUGCUACCCUAACAAAGUAGGUGGAACUCUUCUCGGGAAGAAGGUGUGCCGUUGACACCCACACGUCACAUACCCCACAGUAGGCAUACUAACAAGUUCACACACAAGUACAACAGAAAAGGUAAACAUUCAUAUCAAACUCAGGUUCACUAGACACGUUCAUAUUCAUAGCCAACAUUCACUAUCAACAACUCAAAAGAUUCAUAUAUACACAAGUUUAGCAUGUCUAUGCAUCCAAAUGAUUGAUAGAUCACACGACAAUAUUCAUAGAUAAUUCACAAAAAUAUUCAGAUAUACACAUGUUUAGUAUGUUUAUGCAUCCAAAUGAUUGAGAUCACAACCAAUAUGAUCCAUGGAUGAACUUUAAUUACCUACGGUACAGGCUGGUAAAUGGUGUUCAGUCAGAGGUACUUCUUCCUAAAAUUAAUGCUUGUACGAGUAAACUUUCGAGUACAUAAGAGGCAGCACAGACAAUCUGAACUUUGCUUGUAGGUUUAUCCUCAAAUAGUGGCCUCAUGCCGAGGGAGGUUUGAGAUACUUGGCCACUACUUUCAUCCAACUAGUUUACUAGCUCAUCUUGGUCCUCUAGCUCGCCAAAAUUCUACAUUGCAGACGAGAAAGGAGGCGGUUGAGAAAAUGAACCACCCAAAUUUUUUGUGCAGUUCAACUGAAAUGGAGUAUCCCUGGCGUGUAGACUGAUUAAGUGCCAGAUGAAUAUACACGUCAACCAACUUGUCUGGAAUCUUUAGACUCCAUGCCAUACAGUUCGCUACCAUAUUUGUCGAUAACCAAAAGGCACAAGUUGGGACCAAAGAUUGGACUGUGUUUUUCUGGGCUAUGCGCCAAGCAAUAUUUUUGGCGUUCACUCUCCUAAUACUUGGAGUUUGACAACUGGUUGACGCUGGUUGAUACUCGAAUGAUUAUAGGCACUUCUUGUCAACAUCGAUGCUUGUCUGAGUGAACUUUGGAGUACAUAGCAGCAGCAUAAGUAUCUGUCCAUCUGAUCUUUUUGUGCAGGUCUAUUGAAAUCACCCAAUGCAAUGAUUUGCCUGCGAGUUCAGGCUCCAAGUUAAUCCUUUAUAAAAUCGGCAAACAGUAGCACAAUACCAAAUUACCAAUACAAGACAAGCACAAUAAUCAGUAUAAAGACCAGUACCAACCUGUGUGAGGUAGCAUAUCAAUUACUAUUUCCUUUGACUGGAAGCCGAGAUAAGCGAAGCGACUGACAGCAAAGGAAGAAAGUAGGCCCAUAUUAGCGAAUGACAGGAAAGGACGGAAGCUGUCGAGGUAAUGAAGCACCCAAAGUUUUUGUGCAGUUCCACCAAAAUCGAGCAUCCCUAUUGGCACAUAUAUUGAGAGAGUGAGAUUACUGUAAUAGUGGGACUAGUUGAUGAAACAUACACUAACAAAUAGAAGCACCCUCAUUAUGUUAAUGGGUAAAGUUAGCAACAUAGUAGUCUUGCUUAAAGAGAGGUAUUAGUUUAUUUAAUCAGUGCUAAUUAGCUCAACACUCAAAGCAUUGCCAUGUAUCAUAGGUUGGAAAACUUUAACGUGCAAAGAUAAAGGAGUUUCUCAUGACAGUAGCACAAUACAAAUAGAGAUGACAUCAAACUAAUAUGGAUGAAGGCCUUAGGCUCGUACCAAGCUGAGGAAAAAAGCUUAUUCAUGUAGUCCCAUAAGAGAUGAUAAAGCACUCACUGGAAUCACUCAAUAGUAUAUAUUAUUGUGCACUUCAAAUGUAUGGUUGAAAUCACUCUUGUUUACCAGUGCUGAGAUUAUAUCGAAAGAUUAUCAAGAACUUCCAGCAAAGUUAAAGCACUGGAUGGGAUACAGUUCAUUGUAUUGUCUUGUGUAGUUCCACUAAAAUGUAUGAUUGGCACAACAUGAUCCCUGUUUGCACAAGUAGGAACAAGGUGAAACCUUCAUUAGCUUAGUGAUAAAGGAUAGAAGGACAUUAGCAUAUUACUCUAACAGUAGCAUCAAAUUCAUGAUGGACAAUACGCAAAACAUUGCCUCAUUGAACCAAUGGCAAUAAAUUGACAUGCAAAACAAUAGCACUGUUAUGUCAUGACACUAAUAAUAUUCCCUCCCUGCUUCACCACAUGAUUCACCUCCAUAGACAAACAUACACACGUACAUGAUUCAGCAUAGGGUGCUACUAAACAUUUGUUUAACUCUGAUAGGAAAAUUAGGCAGCAAUAAAUUAGUGGUACUUAAGUACUCCUAAUUAAUUAAGUGAGACAGCAGAAGUAGAAGGGCUCCCUGGAGGAUCAUCUCACGUUUAAGGUAGUCAUUGCCGGAGCCCUUGAAUGGCCUCGACUGAGGCCUCUGGCUUCAGCAAGAUCGCCUUGGCACUGUUUAUUCUUCUUCUUCUUCCUCUUCAUGCUCUGUUUAUCUUUCUCCUCACCAGUUGGUGAAACCAAGUACAUGAUUGGCCUUCUAUUUCAGAAUUGGUUUUGUCAGUGAGUGAGUACAAGUGUACUAGUAAAAAAUAGCAUUAUUUUCUCAUGGCAGUCGAAAAUAGAGAUGAACACAUGCAUUAAAUAUCAUUCUUACCUAAAGGAAGAUUAUGGCGCCAAUAUGGAUGAUGAGGAUUGGAACACAGAUCUCCCUUUGUGCAGUUCCACCGAAAUGAACCAACUAUUCCAUUAUGACAUUCCAGUUAAACAACACAAAAUCACUUCUUUUAAGAAGAGUUUUGUGCAGCGCACCAAAAGGUCACAACAGCAACUAGGUGAAAUGGAUAUCCCUGUUUGCACAAAAAGCUACAUAGGAAACAGUCAGAGUCUCAAACAAUUACAGGCAAAAACAUUUGGCUAAACUUGUCAUGGCUUAUAACAGUGGAAUGGCUUCAUUUUACCAGGGGCAUUAGAUUAAGAACAACUAAAUAUUUGGUAUAAAGGCAUGGGACUGUGGGUGCACCAGCAGUCCAGCACCAUGUACCUAAAUAGGGGCAUAAAGUGGUGAUUCAUAGUUUGUUGCCCCGAGAAACAAACAUCCAAGAAACAUAUCUGGGUUGCUCCCAUUUUUGUUCACUCUAGCCACCUACUCCUAUGUGUGGAUAACAAAUCUAGUCCUGGUCAUACCACUGUGUACAAUGUUACCCCUAUAUUUCCCUUUUCGACCAAGAGACCGGUUGGAUGAACAGUCUGUACUACUUUCACCCCCUUUCCUUCCUGUUUGUACCAAGUCCAAUGUACUACCUCCGUCCCAUAAUAUAAGAAUGUUUUUGACACUACACUAGUGUCAAAAACGUUCUUAUAUUAUGGGACGGAGGGAGUACAUACUAAAUUCCCCCACCCCCACUUUAUUUCUUGUUUGAACCAAGUACAAGAUUCGACUCCAUGAAGUAGCUUUAACUCUAACAACAGAAGAAAAAAUAGGUGACGAUGGACCAUCCGAUCGAGAGGGGCUGAGAGGUAGAAAAUGAUGCACAUGCAGCGACGUAGCGAGCUACGGAAGUAGAGCUAAGGCGGUUUCGAAGGAAGAUAUACCUGAAGGCCAUCGGGGUGUGGAUAGGUGGGCGACGGGAGGCCGGAUCCGCCCACACUAGGGCAACAAGGAAGGGAUCAGAGGACCUCCUGCACCGGUGCUCGGCCAAAGAUAACAGUGCGGCCGGCAGUGGGUCUCCUCCCUCGCUGUCGACGACGGCCUAAAUGCUACCCCUCCUCCCCUUCACCGGCAGAGGGGGAUACAUCCGGAUCUAUAACCAGCGAUGAGGAUAGAAAGACAGUUUUUUUUUGAAGGGAGAAAGAUAGUGUUACCACCCUUUUCUUGUUUAGAUCUGGAGAGGAUGAGAGUGUGUGAAUAGAGCAACCCUAGCAAGCAAGUGCGGAGGCUCCGACCUAUAUAUACGUAGUGGGGUAGUUUUCCUUUUUCACUCCAUCAAAACAAUCAUUUAAAAUUGUGUACUACGUGCCAGGUCACCAUUUUUUAGUUGUUGAUUGUUUUUUUAGAUAGCUACCCGCUUGUUCCAAGUGGUGUUAUGGUGUGCCAGGUCGCACUUUGUAUCGUUCAAGUUCGGUACAAGUCACUCCAUUAAAUGAACAACCACCCCCUCGUAAAAAUUGUGAACAAACCCACGGCUAAAAUUAUCGGAAACGUGGGUUGCCCCAACAUGCAUUAUUAUUUACAUUUUCUACUCCCUCCAUUCCUAAAUAUAAUUCUUUUUAUUAGCCACACCUAAGACAAGAAUUUUUUUUAUUAGCAGUGAACCCCACAUGUCAUAGACACAAAAAGUGUGGCAAAAUUCCCUUAGGCAAGCCAAAAUGUGUCUAACAAUUUGAGCAACUCAAGUUAGGCAAGUGUGGCUAGUGUGGGAAAAAUAAUGUGGCAACAUAAGACAAACAUAGUCACAAUUCAAACAGCCCCAUAAUUUUUUGUGACAUGCAUGAAAAUUUGGUUAGUUAAAUUUAUAGUCAAAAUUUGGCAAGGUGCAUCAAAUCAACACAUGCAAGUAUCAAAAGGAAAGUCACGGCAUGCAUGCAUGCAUUGUACUCCCUCCGUUUCCAAAUAUAAGUCUUUUUAGAGAUUGCAACAAGUGACUACAUACGAAGCAAAAUAUGGCUACAUACAUCCAUAUGUUGUAGUCCAUUUGAAAUGUGUAAAAAGACUUAUAUCGAGUGCAGUGCUUUGAUGUGUUGCGUCAACUCGUACAAGAACAAGAAGUUUGAUUACUACAACACCCUCUCCCUCUCGGAAUGAGCUCCGGUGCAUUAACUGCGCCUGCCUUUGGUUGCAUGACAGGUGGGCCAACCACCUAUUGGGACCACCUGUCAUAGACGCGAAGGCAGGAGCAGUAAGUCAAUGAAGCUGCAUCCCUCCCUCGCGCAUGAGCGUGGUGGCUGGCAGGACUAGUAGAAGCUUUCGCUACACGCUAUCCCUCCCGCACGAGGUGGACGGACAUGCAACAGUGGAUUUGAUACUGUAGAAGUAGGAGUAACAUCAUUGUUCGUCUUCUCAAAGAGGCGAAGAGCCAAGCGCAACCCGAACAUGGCAGUUGCAAACGCUCGCGUGGCAGUCUUUGUGUAGGGGUGGGGCAUGGUGAGGUGUCUUGGAGCACGCAUAUAGCCAGGCUCUUGCAUGUUGCAUGAGACAAAAUUGCUAUUUGAGCCCACUAUUGUAGUACUAGUACUACUUGCUAGUACAACCUUGUAAACUGGAAAGGAGUAUUUGCCUUUCUAGAGAUUCCAACAAGUGACUAGACUACACCGCAUGCAGUACUCCCUCCCUUUCGGUUUAUAGGGCUCAAAUCUCAAAUCUCAUCAACCAAGGCAUUUUGAGAUUGGAGGAAUGUAUCUCGUACUUUACAAAACUACCCUAAUUAAACUCAUGCAUUAAUUACGUAGUUCUCUUGUUUUCCUCUCCGCCUUGGUCGCAGUGCACAAUAUUGAGCACACCUAUAUGACUAGCCACUCUAUCUACAUGCGGGACAUCAAAGCAUCCGGGCCCACGUGCCAUCCACCAAAUCACAACGAGGUGCUACAGUCGAGACUCACCAGUCACCCCGGUGUGGCCGUCGUGACUAGUCAUAUCACAAAACCCACACCUUUACCAGUAGUGGUAAAGUGGCCUCGAAGUUGGACUGGACGAAGCAACCAUCAUUUCACUGGAACACUCGUUGAAGCCCUUUCUCCCCUUUCUUGAAGAAAAUCUCACUCCAGGCUACUCACUUCUACCAUUUUUCUUCUAUACCGACGAAGGAAAGGUGGGCGGAUCAGUGAUGCUGCUAUAUUUUGAUUCCAAGAAUCUUCUUUUUGCGAAGCACUGACCAAUUCUCACAGCCUAUUCUUUUCCCGUUUUCAUUGCGAUUGUGGUUUCCUUUUGAUUGCUUUUUGUUUGUCAGUUUAUUGAUGGAUCCUGGAGCGCUAGGCAAAGAGUUGUCGGCGGACAACCCACUGGAGACAGCGAUCUCCAGGAAGCGAGCACCGACCAACGAGUUGACCAUGUUGGCGGGCCAACCCAUGGAGACGAAGAACUCCAAGAAACAAGCACUGGCCAAAGAGUUGACGACGUUGGCGGAAGAACUCCUCAAAGAAAGUUGGAAGAACAGCACGGGCCCUACCGUGCCUACCCUAGAAACUCUGAUGGCCACCUAUGCGAGGCUCAAGGCCGAGUUUGUGGAGAUAGUUGCCGUUGAGAAGCAGUAUUCCCCUUGCAAGGUGAUGGCCCCCAUCGAGGACGAGGAGAUGGCCCCCGGAGGGAUGGGAUCCCCAGGUGAGCUGCACAAGGUAAAAAAUAAUGGCUUAUUACUGUAGUUGUUGUUUUUGAUUAUUUCCAAUGUGCUUGCUAAUAUGUUAGGGUUGUGCAGGUGCCGGUGGAUGUCCUUAAUGAUUCCGAUGUCGCGGCUCGUCCUGUGGACAAUGCCCCAAAGAUCGUUUUUGAUGUCGCGGUCCGUCCUGUUGGCAUCGCCCCAGAGAUCGAUUCCGAUGCCGCUGUCCAUCCUGUGGACAUCACCCCAGAGAUCGAUUUUGAUGUCGCGGUCAGUCAUGUGGACAUCACCCUAGAGAUCGAUUCCCAUGCCACUGCCCGCGCUGUGGUCAUUGCCCGAGAGAUCGAUGACAAGAAAUAGUUGGUUGCGCUAAUCCUUCAGGGUAGUUUGCAUUACCAUGUGUUUAAUUACCAAAACGAUGCGUGUUAUCAAACCAUCUUAGGGCUAGUGCACUGUCUUGUGUGGGCGGUACUUGCUACUUUUGUUUGACAGUGAAUCAUGCGAACCCUCUCCGAGUUUUGGAAACAGAUGUAUCCUCACCAGCUUUUGAUGUAAUAUAUGGCAUGCUUAGAUGUAAGUUUGAACUGUUUAUCAUAUCAGCAGGGCUUGUUUGAUGAUUCUUGGUGUUAGUAGGCUAGCUAUUGUGCGAGCUAUAGUACUUGCCAAACACUCACCGAAGAGAAACUUUAGGGAUGAUGAGCUCAGGCUACGCUUAUACUUAUCCGUCGUCGAUCGGCCAAUAGCCUAAGCUCCUAAAAUUGUAGGCUUAGUCGACACGGAUACAUUCAGGCCUCAUUUGGUUCAUAGGGUAGGAAAAUUGUAGCAAAAGUACGGAGACGUACAACACAAAAUCAUAGCAGUACAGAGAUGUACUCCCUCCGUUCCAAAAUAGAUGACCUAUAGGCGGGCUAGUUUGGCCUAGUGGUUUUUUUUAGGAUGGCCUAGUGGGUUUCAGUGAUAUGACAUGGUACAGUGCCGUCCAGUCUUCGCGUGUGGUAGCAGUAUUGCGAGUACAGUAAGUUUUCUUGAAGAAGCGGAAUUCAACGAAGUCAUGAUGGUUCCUUCGUCCGACCAACUUAUAGUGGGAAAGGUUGGGCCUGCGAUACGAUCGGGGUAGACCAGGAUAAUUUUGUGCAUGGCAGGUGGACCUGGAUGGUCGAUGUCCCACAUGUCGGCGAAUGAAAGUAUUCUUUCUGAUAUAGAGGACGAGCAACGAGUAUUCAUUGUUUAUUUUUGAUGAAAGCUAUUGUCUACACUGUUACGACGGAGGAGUGUGAAACACGGUAGCCCAGUGAACUUGGCAUAUGCGCCACUCCCUCCUUCCUCAUAUAAUACUACCAUACUGUUGACUAUAAGGUUGGCUAUAAGGUUACAAAUUUUUCUCACUUUCUCUCUAUCUAUUUCCUCUCAAAUGUUUUUUACCUUUCUUUUUUAGACACAAUUGUUUUUAUGCCUCUUUUUUUAGAAUUAUUUUUAUUAUACCUAGGAGCACGUGUAGAGAUGAGCCCACUCCUUGACUUUGCCAAUGCCUCUCUCCCCUCCACAUAAGCGGGCUUAUAGCCCAGUAUUUUACUGGUACUAGAGUACUUGCUAUGCAUGCAUGCGGCGGGCAGCUGGCAUCUGAGGGGCCAGGGCGGUCAAAAGUGCGCUUGGAAGCGGUCCGGACUCCCGCAUGGCCCACCUCACAUUAUCACCAUAUAUUUCUUGGAGUCCGUGCGCGGCGGGCAGGCGAUCUCUUCUCCCUCCCCCGUCUAUCUCUUCUCAACCGACGCCCGCCGAGCGAUUACAUUUCGGCUAUCGACGGUUUAUUCAACUGCAGUCCCACAUGUCAGUGAAAUUGCAAGACAACACGUGUCCCCUCUGGUGAGUGGCGUGCGAGCCGGACUGUCGGGGGUGCGACGCGUACGAGUCGUAAGUGUGCCGCCUUUUCCUUUAGAACUUGCAAAGCGUAACAUUUUCACGCGAUCGAUCGAUAGAAAUCCAGAACAAAAUGACGAGGGCGGUGUUUUCCCACUCGUUAGGCAGGCUAGUUUGAGUGAUAUGACGUGCUACAGUGCUGUCCACUUGCUCCAUUUUUAUGUAAGCAAGAGUUUACACUCUUACGUGGGAGGAGUGUGAAAAAAUGCAGAUCUGAUUUUGAUUGAGGGAUAAUGGUUCCCUGCCAAAUAAUGGAGCACUAUUAGCGAUAUAGCAUGAUAGUUAGGGCAUCUCCAGUGCUGGCCCACAAAUUUACACCGGCAUCUGUCCGAGGACAUUGAUGGAUGCCAUCUGAUGCUGCCCGCAUACCUUUCGACAACUAUAUGAACUAACCUGACGAAAUACGUGCAAACAAAGCAAAUUUCAAAUUAACCGGAUGAAGUCUUAGUGUGUGUGUGUGUGUGUGUGUGUGAGAUAGAGAGAGAGAGAAAUGGAGUCUAGGUGUGUGUGUGUGUUUUUGUGUGUGUGUGGGGGGGUGGGUGGGUGGGUGCGUGUGUGUGUGUAUGUGUGUGUUUGUUGUGUGUGUGUGGGUGGGUGGGUGCGUGUGUGUGUGUGUCGCGGGGUCCUCGACGGCGGAUGUAAUUUAAGUGUGCAUGGCUUCAUCAUAGAGAGGUGAUGUGUAUGGCAGAGGCCACCAACGAUGGGGUGCGAGAGAGAAAAUGCCCAUAGAGAGGGAAGAGAAGGUGUGUGCACGUGAGAGGAGUCGACAUCGAGAGAACGUGUUUGUUCGAGAGACACCGGGGAAGACUACUAUAUAUCGAUGGUGCAUGUAGGCAGGAAUUAAAUGAAGGGAUGGUCCUAUUGGUUUCAGGGAUAUAGAGGAAGAGUGAGAGGGGGGGUAGCUAGAAGGAGAUUGUUAAGUGUGAGUGUGUGUUUUACCCAUCCAGGCGGAAGUUAUGUGCACACAAGAAGAGAACGAUUCGAUGUGGUGUUAGGGUUGAGGGUAACUAACUACGUAUGGAGACAUAGAGACCUUGAACGUGCAUGUGCGAGAGGUAUACAUGUAUAUGUGGGAUGUGUGUGUGUGCACGUGCAUGAUCGAGAUAAAAGAAAGAAGACAUAAGUCAUAAGAUGAAUGACAUGGGAGAGACGGAUCGGUAUGACAAUAUGCAUACAUGUGAGAAUGCAGGGAAGAAGGCCCGGCAAUUGAGCAUGUGUUUUUGUCUUUAAGAGAUAGUGGCGUGGGCUGGAGAAUGCAUCUAUGCCGAGCAGAGGGAGUGAGGCAUAACGAUUGUGCAAAAGAGAUCAACUUAUAAAUGCAUAUGUAUGGAGAGACAUAUAUAGUGUGGGUGAUAGGAAGCAAGAGUGCGUGCGAGAAAGAAACGUUGAUGGAGAAACUACAGAUAGAUACAAAGAUGGAGAUGCUAGCUAGAGAGACAUCCGCUAGUUUGAGUGUUGGAGAUGACCGCCGGGUGGUUCAGAGGGUGAAGUUAUGUGUGUGUGAGAGAAAGAUAAAAAGAGGGCACUUGACUGCAUGUAGAGAGAAACAUAUGUAGUGUGCGUGAUAGGAAGCAAGAGUGAGGGCGAGAAAGAAGGUUGAUGGAGAAACAGAUAAAUAGAAAGAUAAAGAUGCUAGCUAGUGUGCAUUAGAGAUAGGAGUCGAGUGGAUCAGAAGGCUGAGUUAUGUGUGUGGGUGUGAGAGAGAUAGAGAGAGGGUGCAUGUGAGUCACAAACAAACAAAUAUCAGAGAGAAAUGAGAUCCCGAGAGACGGAGUUUUGUGUUUGCGAGAGCGAAAGAUAUUUCACAACGAGAGUGAUAUCUAGAGAAACAUAUGAGGGAAUGCAAGAUAUCUCUAGGGAGAGAGAGUGUGUGUGAGCGACAUGUAAGAGAACAGUGGAGAAAUAUGAGACCCUGGGAGACAGAGUUUGUGUUUGUGUGUGAGAAAGAGAUAUUUAAGAGGAAGAGUCGUAGGUUCUCAUACCCAAGGAGCGAAAGACAUCUUUGUAUGAGGGGUGUGCGAGUGGCACACAGGGGAAUUGUAGAGAGAAAUGAGACCCCGGGAGAUAAAGUUUUGUGUUUGUGUGACAGAAAGAGAUUCCACAUGGAGAAUCAUAGUUAGAGACACAUAGCAGGGAGCAAGAUAUACUUAGAGAGAGCUAGAGUGAUGAAGGUCGAGGGAGAGAGUACCGUCAGUGUGUUACGAAGAUAAAAGAUCAUUGUCGACAUACAGGUAGCACGAGAGAUACCCAAGAGACGAUGAACGCGUAUAGGUCUAGAGAGAUAGUCCUAUAUAAGCAUGAGUGAUAGCUAUAUGAGACGAAUAUCUGGAUUAAAGGGGAUUCAAAUAUUUAAAUUGGAGAUCACGACAUCGAUAAUAUCAUAAUGCAAAUUGGUGUAUCAAACAUGCAUAUUCAUUUGAAUUUGGGGACACGUGUAAUGUUAUAUAGUUUAUCAAUAUUGGUGAUCCAAAGAUUCUUUAAUUAGAAACAAUGCAUGGUUUAUAUGCAAUUAGUGUCUAAACGGGAUUACACUAUAUGUUGCGUGUGUGAAACACAUUAUACAUGUUUGAGAAGUAAAAAAAUCCCACAUGAAACACACAUUAAUUGGGGACAGUAAGCAAGGAAUGCAUGCAUUAGAUUUCAACAUAAAGUGGUUUCAAAUAUUUGAAAAUCCAAAUUGAUGGAUACAACCUUAUGAAUCUGAGAUCAUGCCAUUUGUAAACCAUAUUUAUGUAUAAAGGGGAUUGUUCUUUUGAAAGUAUACAUAAAAAUGUUGUAUAUAGAAUUUUAUUCCAAUCAAAAAUGGAUCCCGCCCGAAAAAAUAGAAUACAAACGGGAUUCAAAUUGAGUUGGCACGGUAAACGUGCACUCUGCAAAAUUUGAACGAAGCAGGGAAAGUCGCAAUAACCGCCCGAAACCAAAAUCUGUGAGAUGGAAAUUACUACUGCCUAUCCCUGCCACGCAAAGCCUAUGUGCUCGAUUUCUAUUGGUUUCGAUAGGGGUAGGAUUGUAAUUUCACUCAAACAUGACAUAACCGCCUCUCACCCGGAUUCAUACAUGGUGGGUGCCAAAACACAGUGUGUCCUCGGCCGAAAUCGACUCCCUCCCCGAUUCAUACACGGUGCGUGCCAAAAACAUACUCUCGUCGGCAAAAAUUCGGUGUGUGCGAGAUUACCGAUCUAUCCCCAACCGACUAAUAUUGCUGUGAUGUAGGAAAUUUGAAACGGGGACUAAGUUUGUAAAUUUCCUCGCAUUUGAGACAAGCGCGCCCUAAAGACAUGGUUCCCCCCUUCCUCUCUACCUCCAUUUCCCCAUUUGUACUCCAUGGGCGCCAAAACACCCUCUCCACCCCAGCCUCCUCCGUCCGCCACCCCAUCCACCACCGUCCUCCUCCACCAUGCCGGAGCUGAUACCCAGACGCCACUGUCCAUUACAAGAGAUCGACCUCUCUCAUCCACGGCUUCGGACCAGGAUCCUUGCAUCCUGUCCUUUCGCUUCAUCCCCGCCGUCGUCCACCUUGCCAGCGCUGCUCCUACGACCAUCUCGUCCACCAUGCCCCGCCACCACCAUCUACCCUCCUAGAUCUGCUUCCACGCUGCUGAUAGCCAUCGCUACCGCAGCACAACCAAAUUCUCAGCAGAUAAAUACACGGCGCUACACCAGAGGCAGUACUCUUUCGUAUUUGCUCAACUUAUUUAUCGCAGCAAGAAAAUAGAUCGCCACUUCUUUACUCUGAUUUCUUGUCCAUCACUUACUUGCUAGUUGAAAGCAAACAUUGGUUGCGAAGUUACCUUUGUCCGGGUUGCACCUUCAGGUCCGCCAUGGCACGCUCAACACUAUACUCCCAAUGCUUAUGAUUUUCCCCUUUUAUAUUCCACACUAGUUAAAUCAUAGUAGACUAAAUUCCAAAAUUGGGCCAGUUGAUUUUUCAGAGCUCGCCGGAGUUCCCCGGUGCGAAUGAAGGGGCUCGGGUGGGGACGGUGGUUGUGGGGGCGGUGGUGGGGCCUCGCCGAACAAAGAAAACUCGACGCGGAUGGGGGCGGGGGUGGGGGGUGGGGGUGGCGGAGGAACAGAGGCGGUGGGGGCCGAUGGUCCGGCCAGCGGCCCUUGCGGUGUUCUAUAUGGGAAGAAUCAUAGACGAGGAAGAGGAAGGGUUAGGAGACGCAGGAUCUUCAUCCAACCGCCUAAAAUGGUCGACUGACCCAAAUGACAAAAGUCACGCGACUUGCAUGCAGACAUGCCUUUAUAUUUAGUACCAUCAUCGUACCUGCUAAGCACUGCUCCUGAAUCCAUCAAGCUAGACAAUGUGCCACUCAUAAUUCCAAACUUAUUGCUCAAGUAUGAAUCUGAUAUGAUGCUGGUAUUACUAAAACAGAUAACAUUUAAUUGGUCAGCUAAUGUUCCUACUUUACUUUCGAUUAGCACGUGCACCACAUAUAGAGAGACAGCAGGGAGUUGCUUUCUUAAUGCGCUCUGGUUCAUCAUGUGUGGGCACUGCGCAGCGAACAUUUUAUUAUCCAAAAUCUGCUUGCUCUUCUUUAGCAUGUUCCUCUUCCGUUCUUCUUUAAUAAGUACUCUCUCUGUUCCCAAAUACAAGUCUUUGUAUAGAUUCCACCAUGGAAUACAUAUGGAGCAAAAUGAGUGAAUCUACACUCUAAAAUGUAACUGGAUACAUCUGUAUGUGAUCCAUAGUGGAAAUCUCUACCAAGACUUAUAUUUUGGAACGGAGGGAGUAUGAUAGUAGUAUAGUAUGUUCCUUAUAGUUAAGAUGAGCAGGGACAUUUGCAGUGUAGAGGUCUAUACGGUCGGUUGUGAUGGACACUUUGAACUCUUCAGGCCUCUUUGAUUCAUAGGAUUUUGUAAACAUGGGACUAGGAUUUGUAGUGGCCUACCCACUUGAAUCCUAUAAGAAUAGCACGGAAAUGCGGGGAGCUAUGUCGCCUUUGAGAGUUACACUGGUAUUAACAGUACCGCACCUUCAGUUGAAGAGAGCUGGUAUCCGAAGCCUUUCUAGCCGUACUGGCAAUACUAGCACAUAUAUUCCAGCAAGUUCCACUUUCCUGAUUUUACUCUGAUUCUUAAGGUUUUCCCGUUAUAUCUACACUAUGAUCUGUGUAACUGCUUUGUGUCGCACUAGCAGCAGUCCACUCUUGAAGCUAAACACCGCAAUGACUUACAAAAUUGGCACCAAGGCAUUGAGUGCCAUUCUGGAUGCAAUGAAACUCAUACGCUCCCCACCCAUUGACUCUUGUUCAGAAUAUGAUCCUAAUGACUCUUGUUCAAAAUUGCCACAUAUAGAGAGACAACAUGGAAUUGCAUUUCUUUGGGCGCUGUGAUUCAUCAUGAGUGGGCAACCAACAUUUUAUGCAAUGAAGCAGAACCUCAAGAAUAUGCUUCCUCUUCUGUUCUUUAACAUGUUCCUCUUUUCUUAUUCUGUAUUUAGUACGUACAAUAUGUUCCUUGUCAGGAAGGGGAGCAGGGACAUCUGCAGUCAAUAGCUGAUAGAGCUGGCCUGUACAUGAUCGAUAGGCUUUCAAUUACUAGAGGCAAUACAACACCGUCUUUUCAAGCCAGUUCGACUUUCCUGAUUUAUAUAUCGUGGUUAGGGUGUACCCCUUUUAUGUACACUAUGAUCUGCCUAGUUGCUGUGUGCUCUUGUUAUCAUGGUUUGGCAAUAAAAUCUCUAUAUAGUAUAUUAUGAACCUAUCAUCUGCCAACUAUCCUUACUUUUGGAGCCUAUUUUUUGUGUACUUGUGCUAGAUUAUAUAAAUGCACGCACCAUAUUACAGCACACAUGAGCUCUCUCAUCAGAAUCCAGUGAUAGCACACAAGUGUUUACAGGGGCGCCCCUAUAUUAGAAUAUCCUCUGCAUUACAAAGAUAAUCUCACAACUAUUUAUGUUUUCAUGGUUCUCAGAUAUUAUACGUAAUUACAGUGAAUAUCAGAAUCCGCGCAUCAUACGAAUAUUGUGGAACACUGCAAUGACUUACAAAAUUGGCACCAAGGCAUUGAGUGCUAUUCUGGAUGCAAUGAAACUCAUACUCUCCCCACCUCUAGAUUCUUGUUCAAAAUAUGAUCCUAAUGACUAUUCUAACCUCGAGGAGUCAAAGGCAGAUGGCAUGUCAUGUUCACCCAUCAAGGUGCAUGUUCUAAUUUGGCAAGGUUUUAUUGAUUGCGCGUAUCUUGCAUAUGUUGUCUUGCAUUUCUUCUACUUUGUUGCACAGCCAUCUGCUUAGUUUACUCAUCAUAUAUGUCGAGAUGCCAUGCCCAUCCAUUAUCAAUACAUAUUCCAUCUGUCAUCAUACCAUGUUUUUCCACUCAAAUGUUGUUCUUGUGCAUCAAACAUCAAAAAGGAAGAGGGUGAUUGCCAAACCUGAAAGAGCACCAGGAAAGUCCUUGAAAAACGUGGUUGUGCCGGAGAAAUCAGGCAACACCCCAUUUAUAUUGGCUGUACAACCAGUGACACAAAACGUAGGACCGACUCCAGCAAACUGUACCCAUACUUCACUGGCCACACCACUAGCCCCAGCCCACAGGACCUGGCCUCCAGCAAAAGGUAUGCCGAUUUCAGUUGCCAUAGCACCAGUCAUACCACAAAAAAAAUCCCACUCCAGCAAAAAGUACAGCAAGUCCAUCGGCCGAAUACCUAUCCCAACUACAGAGACGGCCAAUUCCUGCAGAUUGGAACCCCAUUCCAGUUAUUCCCAGUUUAAAAGAUAAUGCUUUCAAUGUUGUUAGGGACUACGUGCAUAUAUUCCCAUCAUAGGAAGAUUAUAGUGAAGACAAACACCAUUUUCACAUCUUCCUGUCCCACUUACGUGCAAGUGCUAUUAUUCAUGGUGAUUAUUUUCCUGUUUUCUACUGAUUGAACACAUCAAUGAUUUACAUUACAUUGUUAUAAGUAGGCGAGGGUCAAUCUGGAUAGUCAUGAAGAGCAAAGCUUACUUGCGCUUUUCAAGGAAGCAUUGUAGUAGUAUCGGUGUUACCUGAGGAAAUCACACUUUGAUGGCAAGUCUAUAAACGAAUUUCUGGUGAAGUCUCCUGUGCUAAAUUUAGAUGACAUUUAAUGGAAAACCCUUGUUAUGCACUAGUCUCGUUUCGAGGAUGAGGUACUGUCUAUGAUAUAGCAUGACAAUUUGAACUUCUACUUUUCCGCAUGUGCCUUACAGAUCUUUUUUGCAGGAAAUAUGCUCGAAAAAGAAUUCCGGUUUGAAAAGAACGACAGGAUAUCGCAAAUAUGUUGCCCGCUGCUUUGCUCUUGUUAGUACCUGUUGUCCUAUAUCACUGUACUUGCAUACAUACCUGGUUCAUUAUGUGACAGGAGUAUGCAUGAUAGCUUGCUUAUCAAUUGUUCGCUCCAAAUUAUCUGAUCUAUAUGAAUGGUUACAUUAGUGUAGAGUAUAUCCAAUGCCAAUGAAGUUUUUUAGCUCUGCAUUGUUCUUGUCAGUACAUGUUGUCCUUUAUCAGUGUACUUAUAUUGACAGGUAGUUGUUCAUGUACCAUCACUCUACAGCUUAUUUUCCUUUGCCCUCCAUUUUCUACACAUAAGAUCUAUAUUUACUCUUACCAUAAGGUUGGAUAACACCGAUGGUACUGAAAAAGUUUAGCUCUGCAUUGCUCUUGGCUGUACCUUUUGCCUAUAUCGUUGUACUUACAUUUAUAACUACUUGGUUAUGUAGCAUCACUCUUCAUCUUAUCUUAAAUAUUCUCCAUUUUUUCUUAUAUUGUCAUAUUUACUCUUAAUGAAAUGUAGAAUAAAGGCAAUGCUUAUGAAGAAGAUUCUAUGGUAAACUUCCUGAAUCCCCCCCCCCAUCAGCAUGGACAAGGGCUUUAUAGAGCCCGCCUUCACCAACAAUGUAAGUUUGUCCUUCUCAAGCCUUCAAACUUUGUUGUGUAUAUUUGGUUAGGGAUGACUGCAAUAGCUGUUUAUUUUUGGUGUUUGCAUCAAAUUGCAUGUUUAAAGUUUAUUAUGUAGUUCAUAAACAAAAGUUUGUCCUUCUCAAUUUAAGAUUUCAGUUGUACAACCAAGUUCCUUCUUCAUACCAUGUAAAUUAAAAGAUACAGAGCAAGUGAUCUUAUUUUGCCAAUCUGAAAUGGGAUAAAUUGACAACACACUAACCAUUGAUACUUAUGAGUUCUUGAUUUGUAAUCCAGUGGUGUCGUGAAGCUGCCAACUCCUUCACAAUGUCAUUUCCUGCCAUGUCUUGACCUGAACAAUACCAUAUUAUGUUAAUGCUAUUUUAAAUUGUGUCACUUUAUUCGUCAGUAAGAAAUGUGAUGAAUUGUCAGCACUGAUACUUAUAUGUGCAAAACCUGUCAUCUAUCUGCUUGUUUAUCUUUCAGAGUGAGGAGGAUAUAAGUGUCAAACAAGCGCAGUCUCAUCAGCUUGCUCAGCUGCUUGCGCUGCAGAUCCUGAGCAGGGCUAACCUUUCUUGAACUCUAUUGAAGUGCUGUCAGUUUUGUAUAUUAUUUUGUCGGCGUGUUUAAUUGCACUGGUGGCGAUCUUUGAUGCCCAAUGUAUGUAAUCAACUGCCUGCUUGUGCUUUAUUAUCAUAGUGGGGAACUUUGAUGCCCAGUGGAUGUAAUAUGCCGUAAUUUCUUUAUUGUAUAGUCUAGGCUUUUUCUUAUUCACGAUGCUGCAGUUAUUUUACUGUAUAUAUCAUGUCUUCGCAGUAAACCGGCCAAACUGUAAAAUUACGGUACAUAAUCGGGCCGUCAUGCAAAUCAUUAUGUAUCAUGGGCCCCGUCAUCUUGGUCCGUUAACAGGCCUAAAUGUAAACUGGCCCACUAGUAGAUUCGGGCCUUUAAUAGGCCGACUAAACCGCCGGCCCUAUUUUUCCAAGAAAACUCAAUGGGCUUUUACGAGGCUGAAAAGUAGGUUGGGCCUGAAACGUGCCGAACAGCUCACGGGCUGACAACAGGCCGAAAUAGACCCCGGCCCGUGAUUGUGCCAAUCAAAUCACGGGCUUAUAAUAGGCCAAAAUUGUCUCGGUCCUUGUUUGGACCAAUCAGAUUAUCGGCUGUGAGCAGGCCGGAUGCAAACGGGGCCGUAGUUAGGCCCAACUAUAUGACGGGCUUUUAACAAGCCGAAAUAUAUAUAGGGCCGAAAUGUUAAACAGGCCUUUAACAGGCCGAAACUAAUAUCAGGCCGAAUUACUAAAUGGGACUUUAUCAAGUGGGCCCAAAAGCAUAGCGUCCAGUUGACGGGUCGAAUCUGAUAUGGGCCAUAAUUUAGCCCAAAGCCUCUCAAAGGGCCGGACCUGAUCUGGGCCGUAAUUUGGCCCAAAAUGUGGUAGGCUUUUAAUGGGCGGGAUCCCAUAUGGGCCUUUAUUAGGCCCAGAACAUGGCAGGCUGUUAAUGGACCAGAUCAAAUAUGGGUCGGCAUUUGGCCCAAAACAUGGCAGCCUGUUAAUGGGCCGGCCUACUAGUGUCAUAAAAAUCUUUUGGGCCUUCAGCUGGGCCGGCCCAUUAUGGUCGGUGAAAUUUCGUGGGCCUUUAGCAGGGCUGGCCCAUUAUGGUCCGCAAAAUCUUGUGGGCCUUUAGCUGGGCCGGCCCAUUAUGGUCUGCAAAAUCUCGCGGGCCUUUAGCUGGUCCGGCCCAUUAUGGCCUGCAAAAUCUUGUGGGCCUUUAGCUGGCCCGGCCCAUUAUGGUCCGCAAAAUCUCAUGGGCCUUUUGCUGGGCCGGCCCAUUAUGGACCGCAAAAUCUUGUGGGCCUUUAGUUGGGCCGGCCCAUUUAAACUUUAUGGGCCACUUUUGGACCGGUCCACAUGUCAACAUUUCAUAAGUGCAUCUCGCCCAUUGGAUGAGUGACACCUGGGCCAAUAGGGACCUGACACGUGUUUCCUCCAGCCAAUGAUGAUUUUACACAUGGAAAAUCUCCAUUGGUCUGGGCUGUUAACGGGUUAUCGGAUCCAAAAUUGGACCCGAUAGCUUAACAGUGUUCCGUUACGGUGGAUGCCACAUGUCGGUCACCCUUGAUGAAAGCACUUCUGUGACGCGUGAUUUUUCGUCAUGGAAGCGGACACUUCCGUGAUGAUAAUUUUGGUAAUGUCAUGGAACACUUCUACGACAACACAGGUAUGACUAUCUUGAUUAUGUCAUAAAAUCGUCAUGGAUGUACAUGCAUGACAGAAAAUGUGACCUACUGUGACAAACACGUAUCAUCACGCAAGUGUUUUUUGUUGUUGUGUAGAAGCGGAACUACCCCAAAUAUUUGGUGGAAAAGAGGGAUGGAAAAGUGAACAAAGGUAUAUUUGAUAUAACGGUUAUUGAUGUGUACCUUGCUAGUGUUCAUAGUAGCCCUUGAGUAUUUGAUACUUGUUCGGUUGCUAAGAUAAGUAACUCAAAACAGGAGUUACAGAAUAAAUAGAGACUAGUUAAUAAUGAAGUGACGAUGUAUGUUGGAAGUGGUUCCAAGAUUGAUAUGAUCAUCAUCGCACACUCCCUAUACUUUUGGGAUUAGUGUUGAACCUAAAUAAAAGUUAUUUGGUGUUUGCAUUGAGCAUGAAUAUGAUUAGUCAUGUUUAUUGCAAUACAGUUAUUCAUUUAAAACAGAGAAUAAUUGUUAUUCUGUUUACAUGAAUAAAACCUUCUAUGAUCAUACACCCAAUGUUGAUGGUUUAUUGAAUCUCGAUCGUGGUAAUACACAUAUUCAUAAUAUUGAUGCCAAAAGAUGCAAAGUUGAUAAUGAUAGUGCAACUUAUUUGUGACACUAACGUUUGGGUCAUAUUGGUGUAAAGCACAUGAAGAAACCCCAUAAAGAUGGACUUUUGGAAUCACUUGAUUAUGAAUCAUUUGAUACUUGCAAACUGUGCCUUAUGGGCAAGAUGACUAAAACUCCGUUCUCCGGAACAAUGGAACGAGAUAGUGACUUAUUGGAAAUAAUACAUACCGAUGUAUGCGGUCCAAUGAGUGUUGAUGCUCAUGGCGUGUAUCGUUAUUUUCUGACCUUCACAGAUGAUUUAAGCAGAUAUGGGUAUAUCUACUUAAUGAAACACAAGUCUGAAACAUUUGAAAAAUUCAAAGAAUUUCAAAGUGAAGUGGAGAAUCAUCGUAACAAGAAAAUAAAAGUUUCUAUGAUCUGAUCGUGGAGGAGAAUGUUUGAGUUACAAGUUUGGCAUUCAUUUAGAACAAUGUGGAAUAGUUUUGCAACUCAGGCCACCUAGAACACCACAUCGUAAUGGUGUGUCCGAACGUCGUAACUGCACUUUAUUGGAUAUGGUGUGAUCUAUAAUGUGUCUUACCGAUUUACCACUAUCUUUUUGGGGUUAUGCAUUAGAGACAGCUGCAUUCACGUUAAACAGAGCACCAUCAAAAUCCGUUUAGACGACGCCUUAUGAACUAUGGUUUGGAAAAAACCAAAGUUGUCAUUUCAUAAAAUUUGGGGUUGCGAUGCUUAUGUGAAGAAGCUUCAACCUGAUAAGCUCGAACCCAAAUCAGAGAAGUGCAUCUUCAUACGAUACCAAAGGAAACUGUUCGAUGCACCUUCUAUCAUAGAUCCGAAGGCAAAAUCUUUGUUGCUGAGAAUGGAUCCUUUCUAGAGAAGGAGUUUCUCUCGAAAGAAGUGAGUGGGAGGAAAGUAGAACUUGAUGAGGUAAUUGUACCUUCUUCCUUCUUGGAAAGUAGUUCAUCAUAGAAAUCAGUUCUAGUGAUUCCUACACCAAUAAAUGAGGAAGCUAAUGAUGACGAUCAUGAAACUUCAGAUUAAGUUACAACCGAACCUCGUGGGUGUUCCAGAGUAAGAUCCACACCAGAGUGGUGCGGUAAUCCUGUUCUAGAAUUCAUGUUACUAGACCAUGAUGAACCUACGAACUAUGAGGAAGUGAUGAUGAGCCCAAAUUCCACGAAAUGGCUUGAGGCCAUGAAAUCUGAGAUGGGAUCCAUGUAUGAGAACAAAGUGUAGACUUUGGUGGACUUGCCCGAUGAUCGGCAAGCCAUAGAAAAUAAAUGGAUCUUCAAGAGGAAGACAGACGCUGAUAGUAGUGUUACUAUCUACAAAGCUCGACUUGUUGCAAAAGGUUUUCGACAAGUUCAAGGUGUUGACAACAAUGAGAUUUUCUCAACUGUAGCAAUGCUUAAAUCCGUCGGAAUCAUGUUAGCAGUUGCCAUAUUUUAUGAAAUCUGGCAAAUGGAUGUCAAAACUGCAUUCCUUUAAUGGAUAUUUCUUAAAGAAGAGUUGUAUAUGAUGCAACCAGAAGGUUUUGUCGAUCCUAAAGGUACUAACAAGGUGUGCAAGCUCCAGCGAUCCAUCUAUGGACUGGUGCAAGCAUCUCAGAGUUGGAAUAUACACUUUCAUAAGGUGAUCAAAGUAUAUGGUUUUACACAAACUUAUGGAGAAGCCUGUAUUUACAAGAAAGUGAGUGGGAGCAUUACAACAUUUCUGAUAAGUAUAUGUGAAUGACAUACUGUUGAUUGGAAAUGAUGUAGAAUUUUCUGGAAAACAUAAAGGAGAGUUUUAAAGGAGAUUUUCGAAGAAAGACCUCAGUGAAGCUGCUUGCAUAUUGGACAUCAAGAUCUAUAGAGAUAGAUCAAGAUGCUUGAUAAGAUUUUUCAAUGAGUAUAUACCUUGACAAGUUUUUGAAAGAGUUCAAAACGUAUCAGUCAAAGAAGGAGUUCUUGUCUGUAUUACAAGGUGUAAAGUUGAGUAAGACUCAAAGCCCGACCACAGCAGAAGAUUGAAAUAGAAUGAAAGUCACUCCCUAUGCCACAGUCAUAGGUUCUAUAAAGUAUGUUGUGCUAUGUACUAGACCUAUUGUGUGCCUUGCCAUGAGUUUGGCAAGGGGUACAAUAGUGAUCUAAGAGUAUAUAACUGGACAACGGUCAAAAUUAUCCUUAGUGAGGACUAAGGAAAUAUUUCUCGGUUAUGGGGGUGAUAAAGAAUUCGUUGUAAAGAGUUACGUCGAUGCAAGCUUUUACACCCAUCCAGAUGACUCUAAGUCUCAACCUGGAUACAUAUUGAAAGUGGGAGCAAUUGGCUAGAGUAGCUCCAUCCAGAGCAUUGUAGACAUAGAAUAUUUGCAAAAUACAUACGGCUCUGAAUGUGACAGACCCGUUGACUAAACUUCUCUCACGAGCAAAACAUGAUCGCACCUUAGUACUCUUUGGGUGUUAAUCGCAUAGCAAUGUGAACUAGAUUAAUGACUCUAGUAAACCCUUUGGGUGUUGGUCACAUGGCGAUGUGACCUACAGGUGUUAAUCACAUACAGAUGUGAAGUUUCUCUAAACCAUGUGCGGUGCCCCCCUCCACAGUUACACACCUCGAUCAUACCAUCGUAGUGCUUAGGCGAAGCACUGCGCCGGUAGCAUCAUCAUCACCGUCGCCACGCCGUCGUGCUGAUGGAACUCACCCUCGUCCUCAACUGGAUCAAGAGCACAAGGGACGUUAUCGAGCUGAACGUGUGCUGAACGCGGAGGUGCCGUACGUUCGGUACUUGAUCGGUUGGCUCACGAAGAAGUUCGACUACAUCAACCGCGUUAUUGAAACGCUUCCGCUUUCGGUCUACGAGGGUACGUGGACACACUCUCCCCUCUCGUUGCUAUGCAUCACCUAGAUAGAUCUUGCGUGAUUGUAGGAAAAUUGUUGAAAUUACCACGUUCCCCAACAUUGUCACUGGGUGAGGACACCACAAGAUUGAACCCAAAACUAAGCACCUCUCCCAUUGCAAGAAAAACCAAUCUAGUUGGCCAAACCAAACCGAUAAUUCGAAGAGAAAUACAAAGAUAUCAAAUCAUGCAUAUAAGCAUUCAGAGAAGAUUCAAAUAAUAUUCAUAUAUAAGCUGAUAAUAAAUCCACAAUUCAUCGAUCUCGACAAACACACCACAAAAGAAGAUUACAUCAGAUAGAUCUCCAAGAACAUCGAGGAGAACAUGGUAUUGAGAAUCAAAGAGAGAGAAGAAGCCAUGUAGCUACUAGCUAUGGACCCGUAGGUCUGUGGUAAACUAUUCAUGCUUCAUCGGAGGGGCAAUAGUGUUGAUGUAGAUGCCCUCCAUGAUCGAAUCCCCCUCCGGCAGGAUGCCGGAAAAGGCCCCAAGAUGGGAUCUCACGAGAAAAGAAGGUUACGACGGCGGAAAAGUAUUUUGGUGGACUCUUCUGGUUGUUUGGGAAUAUUUGGGGAUUUAUAGAACUCAGAAGGAGGUCGGUGGACUCCCGAGGGGCCCACAAGCCAAGGGGCGCCCCCUAGGGCAUGCCUUGGAGGCUUGUGGAGUCCUCAGGACUCUUCUGACUUGGCCUCCAAGCUCCGUGGAUGUCUUUUGGAAAUUAAACAUGAGAAUAAAUUUUCUCUAUGCUUAAUUUCCAUGUUUGCUAGUAGCUAAAGUGAAGAAAAAAAGUCGUAUAGAACAUAUAUGCAAAUGAAUGAUCCUAAUUCUUGGAGAUUGGUAUGAAGGUUAUUUAAUAUACUUAUAUGAUAUCAAGCUAUCGAGCUAAAAUCGAGCGAGCCAAUGCUUGCUCAAGAUCGGCUCAUUUCUCGAUCGAGCUACAUAAAGUGUUCAUACUCAGCUCAUUUCUUUUCGAGUCGAUCUCGAGUCGAGCUGAAAUACGAGUCGAUCUCGAGCGGCUCACGAGUCUCGAGCUUUUCUUGCAGCCCUAGAUACAGGUGUAGUAUGGAUAGUUGAUAUAGGUUUUUGUAAUAUGAUAUUAUAAAAGCAACAAGGUGGCAUAUGAUAAAACAAAGCACAAACGGUAUUGCAAUGCUUGAAAACAAGGCCUAGGGUUCAUACUUUCACUAGUGCAAUCUCUCAACAAUGCUAACAUAAUUGAAUCAUAUAUUAAUCCCUCAAUGUGCGAAAAAGAGUCACUCCAAAGUUCUUAUCUAAGAAGAAAUUAUUGUAGUUAGCAAACCACCUUAAUGUUAUCCUUUCCGAUCAAUUUAUUGAGCCGUCCCUAUAAGUGUCACAAACAUCUCUAGAGUUCGUACUAAAAUAACAUCAUAUGAAAAUACAACAAUCAACCCUAAUGUCACCUAGAUACUCCAAUUUCACCACAAGUAUCCAUGGGUCAAUUAUACGAUAUGUAUCAAACAACUUCAGAUUCAUAAUAUUCAAUCUAGCACAAAGAACCUCAAAGAGUGCCCCAAGAUUUCUACUAGAGAAACAAGACGAAAACGUGCAUCCACCCCUAUGCAUAGAUUACCCCAAUGUCACCUCAGGAAUCCACGAGUUGAGUGCCAAAACAUACAUCAAGUGAUUCAAUAUAAUACCCCAUUGUCACCACGGGUAUUCAUAUGCAAAACAUACAUCAAGUGUUCUCAAAUCCAUAAAAGUAUUCAAUCCGAUAAUAGUGGAACCUCAAAGGUAAAAACUCAAUUCAUCACAAUAAGAUAGAGAGGGAAAACACCAUAUGAUCCACCUAUAUUAACAAAGCUCGCAGUACAUCAAGAUCGUGCCAAAUCAAGAACAAGAGAGAGAGAGAGAGAGAGAGAUCAACAAAUAGAUGCUUGUACAUACCCCUAGCCUCGAGGGUGAACUACUCCCUCCUUAUCAUGGUGGCCACCGGGAUGAUGAAGAUGGCCUCCGAUGAUGAUUUCCCCUCGGAUAGGGUGCCGGGAUAGGGCUCUAGAUGGUAUUUCGAAGGUACAGAGGCGUGCGGCGGCAGAGUCGAAGUUCUAGGGUUAUUUCUAGUGGUUUCUCUAUUUAUAGGACUUUUUGGCGUCGGUCUCACGCUAAGAUGGAACACGAGGUGCCCGCUACCUACCAGACCACCACUAAGGCCCCUAGCACGCCCUAAUAGGUAGUGGCCACCUCCUUUAUCUUCUGGUCCUCCCACAAAGCUUCGGGGGUCUCUUUUGUUCCAAAAAAGUCGUCAAAACAUUUCAGCUCAUUGGAGAACUUUUAUUUCUGCACAAAAACAACACCACGGUAGUUCUGCUGAAAAUAGUGUCAGUCCGGGUUAGUUCCAUUCAAAUCAUACCAAAACCAUAUAGAAUUGUUGUAAACAUGGCAUGAAUACUUCAUAAAUUAUAGAUACGUUGGAGACGUAUCAACCGCCGUGGUCCGUUGGUCGGCACUGGAAUCAGAUCGGGCGAUGCGGGCAAGCUGCGACCAUGGUUGCUCUAUGGGAUGUGUGUGGGGGGGUGCUCGGUGUUGUGCGCGGCCAGCCAUUGAAAAAUGAUAGAGAGAAUAUACCCCACCUGUCAUAAGCUGCCUUAGCCCUACCUGUCAUAAGUUGCCUCAGCCCCACCUGUCAUAAGUUAUGCCAGCCCCACAUGUCAGGAUCUUACCGUGUUAUCACUAUGGGGAGAGAGAGUGGCCCGCCCCCAGCUGUCAGGGUAUCACGCGACCCCACGUGUCAUAAGUUGCCUUGAUCCCCAUAUCAGGAUUCUACCGCGCCAGCACUAUGGUUAGAGAGACUGGACCAACCCCACCUGUUAGUAUAUCAGGCGGCUCCACUAGUCAUGAAGUAGCGGUCAAAGGCUUUGACCUAACAGAAGUGCUCUGUUUGGGCUUUUGUGAGCAGGUGGUGGAGGAGGGAGGGCAAAAGUGAGCUACAUUAGUUGCCUGGGGUAAAACUUAGCACAACUAAGCAACCAGGGGAAUGAAAAUAGAAAACCUUUUAUUUUAUUAGCUCUAGUGGGUCCUUGUUUUCUCUACAUUUUGGUUCUUGGUGACAUCAACAUGUGGUGGCAAUGAUGAUAUGGAAUAAGGCCCCUCUGACUUCUCACUACCUCACGACGUACUAUCUGGCACCGUUGAAGAGUUUAUAAGGGUAGGUGUUGCCAAAUCAGCUGGCAUGUCAAUCAAGGGAUGCAGUUCGUUGGCUCAUCUUUCAAGUUAUUCUUUGACAUGACCUGAUUUUACAACCUUUUGGGCUGGUUGUGAAUGAUUGAAAUCCUACAUUGCGCAGAGUGAUACCCCAACUGAUGUUCUUCAAUGAUUACUAGAUCUCUUUUCUUGCAGUGAGUUACUAUUGCCAGCUUCAAAGGCUGAUAUGGGGUGGUCGUUUGAGGCUGCCCCUUUCCCAUAGUGUCAAUUCAACAUAAUUUCAAGCUAUGGCGAGCGACGUACAAUCAAAGGAAGAAGACAACUAGUAUGAUUUUCUAUGUAAUUUUAUUUUUUACAGGUUGUUUUUGUUUGCAUUGUCUUUCAUACUGUUUUCCUUCAUAAUUCCUUUUAAUGUGCUACUUUUAGGAACUAUAUGAUUUGUGCACGUGGCUCGGUCACACCUGCAGGUUGCAAUCUAUGUUUUUUUGAGUGGAGGUUGCAGUCUAUGUAGUAUGAUGUUUGAUCCCUACAUAGUUGUUGACAUGCUGAUUGAAGCAACUAAUAACCCACAAGUAUAGGGGAUCGUAAAAGUUUUCGAGGGUAGAGUAUUCAACCCAAAUUUAUUAUUUGACACAAGGGAAGCCAAAGAAUUUUCAUGAGUAUUAGCAGUUGCUUUUCAAUCCAACCACGCCUGAAAGACUUAAUAUCUGCAGCAAAGUAUUUAGUAGCAAAGUAGUAUGGAAGUAACGGUAACAAUGGCAAAAGCAACGAAAGUUGUCACGCCCAAUAUGCGAUACUAUCCUAAAGAGACUCGAAGGUCCCACCAAGGAUAGAACCGCAUAUUGAAAUGCUUUUGCAAGGUGGAUAUCAUUACAUCAACAUUACAUAAUAGAUGGGGAUACAUACAAGGGGCAUACAAUGCCACAUGAAUACAACAUCAUCAACACAUAAGAGCAUCAUCCGACUACGGAUGAAACACAAAUAGAAACUCAAAUGACAUCCACCCUGCUAGCUCAGGCUGCCAACCUGGAACCUAUCCCCUGAUCGAACAAGAAGCAGAAGAAGAACUCCAAAACAAGCAAACAUCACUCUCGCGUCAUGAUCAUCACAUAACCUGUACCUGCAACUGUUGUUGUAGUAAUUUGUGAGCCACGAGGACUCAGCAAUCCCAUUACCAUGGGUAUCAAGACUAGCAAAGCUUAAAGGUAAAGGAAGGGGUAAAGUGGUGAGGUUGCAGCAGCAACUAAGCAAGUAUGGUGGCUAACAUACACAAAUAAGAGCGAGAAGAGAAGCAAAGGAACGGUCGUGAAGCUAGCAAUGAUCAAGAAGUGAUCCUGAACUCCUACUUGCGUCAAACAUAACCCAAAACCGUGUUCACUUCCCGGACUCCGCUGAAAAGAGACCAUCACGGCUACACACGCGGUUGAUGUGUUUUAAUUCGGAUCUGGUGUCAAGUUGUCACGCCCAAUAUGCGACCCUAUCCAAAAGGAACUCGAAGGUCCCACCAAGGAUAGACCUGCAUAUUAAAAUGCUUUUGCAAGGUGGAUAUCAUUACAUCAACAUUACAUAAUAGAUGGGGAUACAUACAUAAGGCAAACAAUGCCACAUGAAUACAACAUCACAAUACAUAAGAUCAUCAUCCUACUACGGAUGAAACACAAACAGAAACUCAAACGACAUCCACCCUUCUAGCCCAGGCUGCCGACCUGGAACCUAUCCCCUGAUCGAAGAAGCAGAAGAAGAACUCAACGCAAGCAAGCAUCGCUCUCGCGUCAUGAUCAUCGCAUAACCUGUACCUGCAACUGUUGUUAUAGUAAUCUGUGAGCCACAAGGACUCAGCAAUCCCAUUACCAUGGGUAUCAAGACUAGCAAAGCUUAAUGGGAAAGGAAGUGGUAAAGUGGUGAGGUUGCAGCAGCGACUAAGCAUAUAUGGUGGCUAACAUAUGCAAAUAAGAGCGAGAAGAGAGCAAGCGGAACGCUCGUCAACUAGCAAUGAUCAAGACGUGAUCCUGAAAUCCUACUUACGUCAAACAUAACCCAAAACCGUGUUCACUUCCCGGACUCCGCCAAAAAGAGACCAUCACGGCUAUACACGCGGUUGAUGCGUCUUAAUUCGGAUCUGGUGUCAAGUUAUCUACAAUUGGACAUUAACAAAUUCCCAUCUGCCACAUAACCGCGGGCACGGCUUUCGAAAGAUUAUACCCUGCAGGGGUGUCCCAACUUAUCCCAUGACAAGCUCUCGCGAUCAACGAAGGAAUAGACCUUCUCCCCGGAAGACCCGAUCAGACUCGGAAUCCCGGUUUACAAGACAUUUCGACAAUGGUAAAACAAGACCAGCAAGACCGCCCGAUGCGCCGACAAUCCCGGUAGGAGCUGCACAUAUCUCGUUCUGAGGGCAACACCGGAUGAACACUACGUACAACUAAAACUAACCCUCAAGUUUCCCCGAGAUGGCGCUGCAAGUGGCUCUGGUUCGGACCAACACUUAGACAAGCACUGGCCCGGGGGGGGGCUAUAAUAAAGAUGACCCUCGAGAGAGCGACUCCCAAGGGAAAAGUAGGUGGUGGUGAGGCAAAUGGUAAAACCAAGGUUGGGCCUUGCUGGAGGAGUUUUAUUCAAAGCGAACUGUCAAGGGGGUCCCAUAAAUCACCCAACCGCAUAAGGAACGCAAAAUCCGGGAACAUAACACCGGUAUGACAGAAACUAGGGCGGCAAGAGUGGAACAAAACACCAGGCAAAAGGCCGAGCCUUCCACCCUUUACCAAGUAUAUAGAUGCAUUAAUAAUAUAAGAGAUAUUGUGAUAUCCCAACCAAAAUCCUGUCCACCAUGGAGAAAUCUUCAACUUCACCUGCAACUAGCAACGCUAUAAGAGGGGCUAAGCAAAAGCGGUAACAUAGCCAAACAACGGUUUGCAUAGGAAAGGUGUCAAAGGUUAGAGGUUCAUGGCAAUAUGGGAGGCUUGAUGAGCAAAAGAUAGGUAAUGCAGCAUAGCGAUAGAACGAAACAACUAGCAUAGCAAUGAUAGUAGUGAGAUCUAGGGUAGCGGUCAUCUUGCCUGAAAUCCCGCAAGGAAUAAGAACGAGUCCAUGAAGGAGAUGAAGCCACGAAGACGAACCAAGCGUAGACGAACGAAUCCUCACGAUCGCAACGGAAACAGGAACUAUCAAAAAGAAGCACACAACAUAGUAAACACACCACACAUGAACAAGGCAUGAUUCACAACAAGCAUGAUGCAUGACACGGCUACAUGAAGCUACUCAUGGCAAGGGAUGAUGCAAACAAGAGCAACACAUCAAGGCAAGUUUAAAUGAGGCCGGGAACAACAUAUAACAAUUCCGGUAAGUCCUCAUAUGCAAAUUUCGAAAUUGAUCCAGAUCUGAAUAAACCUUAUGUUCAAGUUGUUAAACAGCAAGUUAAGAUGCACAAAGAUGAUCUACACGAGAUUCUAGUCAAGUUACAUAUAAAGUUCAUUUAGUUCGGAGCUACGGCCUAGAAGAUAUGAGCAAAACAAGUUAAACAUGGCAUUGAUGCAAAAUGCACCCAAACAUCAAGCAAACACCUCAAAACAUGAAUGCAACAUGAUAAUAUGAAACUACAUGCAAUUCUAAGCAAGUUUCAUAUAGAGCACACUCAAAACGGAGCAACGGUUCAACACACACACUAUACAAGUUAUAGCAACAAUCUGUCCAAAACAGCAACUAGGCAUAUUGCAAGCAUCAAAACAAUAUGCUACAGGACCUCAACAUGAAAACAAAAGGCAUGGGCAUGAUGUACAGGUAAAGCAUUACAAAACAUGAACACUGAGCUAACUCCAGAAAUCACUAGAACAUACUCAAACACACAUGGUAAAAUUGCAAGUUAUAACAAUUCAGACUUUGUAUAAAAUAACAUCACGAUGCAAUGUUCAGAGCUAUCAGACAACAUGUUACACGAACUUAUCAUGGAAAACAAAGGCAUGGCAUGAAUCUACUAAUUUCAUAGAUCAAAAGUCCUUUACUGACCGUAAGACAAAAAGGAUCAGAAAAUAUGAUGGCACCCACGUAAACAUGGCAAGUUAUAAUACAGAUUCAAACAUGGCAGAAACAGAAUUAUGAAGGCAUGUAGAUGAGCUUGUGCAACUCACUAUAGAGCAAUACAUGGCAUGGCAAGGCAACCAACAGUAAGAAGACAUGUUUGUGAAGCUAAGCAUGGCAAUAGCAAUGUCAUUGGGUACAUGGAACACUAGGAAAACACAUGAGAACAACUGAACUUAAUGUUAACAGGCUGACAGCAACAUUAUGAAGCAACUUUGGAGCAAGAUUACAAUAAGCUACAACAAGCUAUCAAUGCUACCAGGGGCAUUGAUUGAUAGAGGAUGACAUGUAGAUCAAAACAUAUUUAGUGGACAUCUCCAGAUUAUGCAUAGAAUGAUUAGUAGCAACAUGUUUAUAUAGCAUCACGAAAUAACAGAUUCAGCCUAGCAAAACAGCAACAACAAGUACACUACUUAACAAGCUCGAUUCACUCACCACAAGUCAUUGCAUGACAAGAUAAUCAUAGCAUCAUCAAGAAGACAUAUUUAUGAAACAAACCAAGGCAAAAACAAGUUCAUAGCAUGCAAGGAUCAACUAUAGCAACCUUGGCCAAAUUGAAUAUGUAAACAAUCUGCCAGGAAACAUUUUGAAGCAAAAGUAGAGCACGAAAAUGACAUGCUAGACUACUCCAUAAUUGCACAAAAGGGCAUGAAUGGAUAGAGAACAACCAUAUGUUCAAAACACCCUUACUGAAGUAUCUCAAAAUAUGCAUGGAUCUCUCUGUAGCAUCAAGUUUACAUGGCAUCAAAAUAACAGCAGAACGGGGACUAAAACCAGCAACAUCACGAUGCCUAGUUUGCAUGCUUGUUCUAGUCACCACAUUGAUCACAAAAAUACAUGGUAAGCACCUUUGUAAAUAAGACAUUGCAUAGAUCAAAACACAUGAAGACAUCAACCUCAUAGGAUGCACACAUCAAUCAUGGCAAAAAUGACAAAAGAGCUCGUUCUGAUAACAGACAGCAGAAAACAUCAUGAAGCACUCUUAUAACGAUGAUUGAGGCAUCAAGAUGACCACAAAUGAAUAUGAUGCAAUGGAAUGAAAUGAUGUACUUGUCGAGAUGAACAAUUUGACAUAUUACACGCACGAAACGGAGCUACGGAUGCAGAGAUACAAUGCGAUGAACAUGGCAUGAUGAUGCAAAAUAACAGGGACUUAGGCAUUUCGGGGCAACCUCCAGAUGUGCAAGGUUUUCAAAGCGGCGGCGGAUCUCGCCGGAGCAGGGCGUCGGAGUGGAAGGAGAUGACGGGGCCGGCGGAUCCGGGGCCGGGGAAGGUCGCGGAGGUUCGUCGCCGGAGCGGGGGGGCGCUAGAGUGCGGCGGCGCGGCGGAGGCGGCGGCCGACCCGGGCGCGGCGNNNNNNNNNNNNNNNNNNNNNNNNNNNNNNNNNNNNNNNNNNNNNNNNNNNNNNNNNNNNNNNNNNNNNNNNNNNNNNNNNNNNNNNNNNNNNNNNNNNNNNNNNNNNNNNNNNNNNNNNNNNNNNNNNNNNNNNNNNNNNNNNNNNNNNNNNNNNNNNNNNNNNNNNNNNNNNNNNNNNNNNNNNNNNNNNNNNNNNNNNNNNNNNNNNNNNNNNNNNNNNNNNNNNNNNNNNNNNNNNNNNNNNNNNNNNNNNNNNNNNNNNNNNNNNNNNNNNNNNNNNNNNNNNNNNNNNNNNNNNNNNNNNNNNNNNNNNNNNNNNNNNNNNNNNNNNNNNNNNNNNNNNNNNNNNNNNNNNNNNNNNNNNNNNNNNNNNNNNNNNNNNNNNNNNNNNNNNNNNNNNNNNNNNNNNNNNNNNNNNNNNNNNNNNNNNNNNNNNNNNNNNNNNNNNNNNNNNNNNNNNNNNNNNNNNNNNNNNNNNNNNNNNNNNNNNNNNNNNNNNNNNNNNNNNNNNNNNNNNNNNNNNNNNNNNNNNNNNNNNNNNNNNNNNNNNNNNNNNNNNNNNNNNNNNNNNNNNNNNNNNNNNNNNNNNNNNCGCUCGGGCCCCGGCGGGCCCGCGCGGGUGGCGGCGAAGGCGGACGCAGGCGCGGGUGAUGUGGCGGCGGGGAAUUGGGCACGGCGGCGGGGAAGGUGACGUGUCGCGCCCUGAUUGGGCGAAAUGACAUGUCCGGCGGACAUGUCCGGCGCGGCUGGACAUGUCCGGCGAUGCGGAGGAGUUAGGCUAAGGCCGCUUGGCAAGACUCGGUCCAUUCCGAGAAAGUUUAACACCCGCACACGAAAAGAGGCUAGAAGGGGACGCCGGAUGACAUAGAAGCGCCGGAUUGCAAAACGGACAAUGGGGAAAAGGCUCGGAUGCAUGAGACGAACACGUAUGCAAAAUGAAAUGCACAUUAUGACAUGGCAAAAUGCAACACGCAAGCAAAUGACACGGCAACCACAUGGCAACGACGACAAAUAACUGACAGACACCUGGCGCAUCGGAUCCGGGGCGUUACACAAGUUAUCUACAACCGGACAUUAACAAAUUCCCAUCUGCCACAUAACCACGGGCACGGCUUUCGAAAGUUUAAACCCUGCAGGGGUGUCCCAACUUAGCCCAUGAUAAGCUCUCGCGAUCAAUGAAGGAUAUACCUUCUCCCAGGAAGACCCGAUCAGACUCGGAAUCCCGGUUUACAAGACAUUUCGACAAUGGUAAAACAACACCAGCAAAGCCGCCCAAUGCGCCGACAAUCCCGAUAGGAGCUGCACAUAUCUCGUUCUCAGGGCAACACCGGAUGAGACAUCCUACGAGUAAAACCGGACCUCGAGUUUCCCCGAGGGGGCCCCGCAGUCUACUCAGUUCGGACCAACACUUAGACAAGCAUUGGCCCGGGGGGGCUAAAAUAAAGAUGACCCUCGAGCUGGCCGACCCAAGGGAAGGGUAUAGGUGGUGGUGAGGCAAAUGGUAAAACCAAGGUUGGGCCUUGCUGGAGGAGUUUUAUUCAAAGCGAACUAUCAAGGGGGUCCCAUAAAUCACCCAACCGCGUAAGGGCCGCAAAAUCCGGGAACAUAAUACCGAUAUGACGGAAACUAGGGCGGCAAGAGUGGAACAAAACACCAGGCAUAAGGCCGAGCCUUCCACCCUUUACCAAGUAUAUAGAUGCAUUAAUUACAUAAGAGAUAUUGUGAUAUCCCAACAUAAUCCUGUCCACCAUGGAGCAAUCUUCAACUUCACCUGCAACUAACAACGCUAUAAGAGGGGCUGAGCAAAAGCGGUAACAUAGCCAAGCAAUGGUUUGCUAGGAAGGGUGAAAAAGGUUAGAGGCUGACAUGACAAACUGGGAGGCUUGACGAGCAAGAGAUAGGUAGCGCAGCAAAGCGAUAGAACGAAGCAAUCUAGCAUAGCAAUGAUAGUAAUGAGAUCCAAGGUGAUGGUCAUCUUGCCUGAAAUCCUGCUAGGAAGAAGAAUGAGUCCAUGAAGAAGACGAACGGGAGUAGUCAAACGAAUCCUCACAACUCCGGAACGAAACCGAAGCUAACGAGAGAAGCAAACCGGAAAGAAGCAAACAACAUAGUAAACACUCAAGCAUAACCAUGACAUGAUGCACAAUCAAGUAUGAUGCAUGUCCGGUUUAAUGAGUCAUGGCAGGCAACGUGCAACAAACAAUACUACAAUUUAAGUGGAGCUCAAUAUGCAACGAGUUGCAUAUUGACGAAACACCACAUCCAAUUAUUUAAUUCACUCUCGUUUAUGCUACCCAACAAUAUUAAAUGUUAUUAACAUGGCAAGAGGUGCAACACAAUGAAACUACCUAUCUAGGCAAGUUUAAAUGAGGUCGGAAACAACAAACAACAAACCUGGCUCUGAUACCAACUUGUCACGCCCAAUAUGCGAUACUAUCCUAAAGAGACUCGAAGGUCCCACCAAGGAUAGAACCGCAUAUUGAAACGCUUUUCCAAGGUGGAUAUCAGUACAUCAACAUUAAUAAUAGAUGAGGAUACAUACAAGGGGCAUACAAUGCCACAUGAAUACAACAUCAUCAAUACAUAAGAGCAUCAUCCGACUACGGAUGAAACACAAACAGAAACUCAAAUGACAUCCACCCUGCUAGCCCAGGCUGCCGACCUGGAACCUAUCCCCUGAUCGAAGAAGAAGCAGAAGAAGAACUCCAAAACAAGCAAACAUCGCUCUCGCGUGAUGAUCAUCGCAUAACCUGUACCUGCAACUGUUGUUGUAUUAAUCUGUGAGCCACGAGGACUCAGCAAUCCCAUUACCAUGGGUAUCAAGACUAGCAAAGCUUAAAGGGAAAGGAAGGGGUAAAGUGGUGAGGUUGCAGCAGCAACUAAGCAAGUAUGGUGGCUAACAUACGCAAAUAAGAGCGAGAAGAGAAGCAAAGGAACGGUCGUGAAGCUAGCAAUGAUCAAGAAGUGAUCCUGAACUCCUACUUACGUCAAACAUAACCCAAAACCGUGUUCACUUCCCGGACUCCUCCGAAAAGAGACCAUCACGGCUACACACGCAGUUGAUGCGUUUUAAUUCGGAUCUGGUGUCAAGUUAUCUACAACCGGACAUUAACAAAUUCCCAUCUUCCACAUAACCACGGGCACGGCUUUCGAAAGUUUAAACCCUGCAGGGGUCUCCGAACUUAGCCCAUGAUAAGCUCUCGCGAUCAACGAAGGAUAUACCUUCUCCCAGGAAGACCCGAUCAGACUCGGAAUCCCGGUUUACAAGACAUUUCGACAAUGGUAAAACAAGACCAGCAAAGCCGCCCGAUGCGCCGACAAUCCCGAUAGGAGCUGCACAUAUCUCGUUCUCAGGGCAACACCGGAUGAGACAUCCUACGAGUAAAACCAGACCUCGAGUUUCCCCGAGGGGGCCCCGCAGUCUACUCGGUUCGGACCAACACUUAGACAAGCAUUGGCCCGGGGGGGCUAAAAUAAAGAUGACCCUCGAGCUGGCCGACCCAAGGGAAGGGUAUAGGUGGUGGUGAGGCAAAUGGUAAAACCAAGGUUGGGCCUUGCUGGAGGAGUUUUAUUCAAAGCGAACUGUCAAGGGGGUCACAUAAAUCACCCAACCGCGUAAGGAACGCAAAAUCCGGGAACAUAAUACCGAUAUGAUGGAAACUAGGGCGGCAAGAGUGGAACAAAACACCAGGCAUAAGGCCGAGCCUUCCACCCUUUACCAAGUAUAUAGAUGCAUUAAUUACAUAAGAGAUAUUGUGAUAUCCCAACAUAAUCCUGUCCACCAUGGAGCAAUCUUCAACUUCACCUGCAACUAACAACGCUAUAAGAGGGGCUGAGCAAAAGCGGUAACAUAGCCAAGCAAUGGUUUGCUAGGAAGGGUGAAAAAGUUUAGAGGCUGACAUGACAAACUGGGAGGCUUGACGAGCAAGAGAUAGGUAGCGCAGCAAAGCGAUAGAACGAAGCAAUCUAGCAUAGCAAUGAUAGUAAUGAGAUCCAAGGUGAUGGUCAUCUUGCCUGAAAUCCUGCUAGGAAGAAUAAUGAGUCCAUGAAGAAGACGAACGGGAGUAGUCGAACGAAUCCUCACAACUCCGGAACGAAACCGAAGCUAACGAGAGAAGCAAACCGGAAAGAAGCAAACAACAUAGUAAACACUCAAGCAUAACCAUGACAUGAUGCACAAUCAAGUAUGAUGCAUGUCCGGUUUAAUGAUUCAUGGCAUGGCAACAUGCAACAAACAAUACUACAAUUUAAGUGGAGCUCAAUAUGCAACGAGUUGCGUAUUGACGAAACGCCACAUCCAAUUAUUUAAUUCACUCUCGUUUAUGCUACCCAACAAUAUUAAAUGUUAUUAACAUGGCAAGAGGUGCAACACAAUGAAACUACCUAUCUAGGCAAGUUUAAAUGAGGUCGGAAACAACAAACAACAAAAUAAAUAGAAGGCAUCUAGACCUUCGAGUCUCUUUAGGAUAGUAUCGCAUAUUGGGCGUGACAAGUUGGUAUCAGAGCCUCGACCGACCAUAGGAGCCCCCUUGAUUGUUGGCCAUUGUUGAGUCUAGACAAAAACUAUUUUGAGUCUUAGGAUUAUAUAUAUCGGAGAGUAGGAUUCUUUUUACUCCUCAGCCCCUUCGUCGCUCUGGUGAGGACUCUUGACGUAGAUGUUUUGUCUUUCCUCUCCUCAAAUUUCAUUAAUUUUUUUUUAGGAUCACGCGGGUAUCUUGGAAUCGUUUUGAUGGUUUUGUGACGAGAACAUUGUUCUUGGUGCCUCCUGUCUAUUAUGUGGCAUUGACCCGGGGAGUUGAGCUCCGAGGUGUUGUCGUCACAAUUUAUCGUUGCAGUUCUGGAAUACCUGAGUUUUGCCGACAUCGAAAAUCUCUUUUAUGUAGUUGUUGGUGAGAUAACCUCGACACCACCCAGUACUGGGGAGUUCGGGAGUAUUGCCAUAGCUCGUAUAACAGAUGCUUUUCAAAGGUUGAGGUACAGGAUAUCCAGAGUUUUCUUGGUUAUGUGUUGACGGAUGGAUACAGCUGGAUGUAGGUAUUGUUAGUUUGGGUGAGAUAUAUUGCUUCCCCUAUAUCCCCAACACCAGAUUGCAUAACCAGAAAGUUUCGGGAGUUUUAUAGGUGGGAAUUCCAGUAGCUCCUAGAAUAUCUUUCCGACAGAUGCAUGAUAUGGGAUUGGGUAAAUCUCUAUCAUAUGUAUUUGUUCUGGCUUAUUCUGCAAGCCAAAUCCUUUGUUUUGUUUUAUUUGUGAUAUUCGAGUUGCUUCGAAGUCAAGUGUUGAUCCAUACCUUUCCUAAACGGUGUUCUCAUAUUUCUAUGUGAAUUCUAAUCCUUCUUGAUCACUGAGGUUAUCAUGUCAACUCUUUUCCAACCGGUGUGUUUCUCUUCAAGUGGAUCCGAUCAUUUCAACAUUUGCGAGAUCAAUUCUAAGUUUUCUCAACGGUGUUUGUUUCAUCCGUCCCAAGUUGUCCUUAUUUUCCCGCCCUCCCACCCUUUUCUUCAAGGACUCAUUUAUUUUAAUCAAGUAUCCAUUUAUUCAUGUGAAGUCACUUCACUCUUUUCAAUCAAUGUUCUGAUCCGGUGAUCCCUCGUGAAGAUGCUCACGAGCUUCAAGUUCAUCAUCCUUCGUUCUUUUUCUUCUCCGGUGGAUCCAAUUCAAGCUCUCAGUGUUGAUCAUAUUCCUUUCCUCGUUUCUAAUGCUUUCUCAUGCCGAUGCACCUCUUAAUCAUUCACUUCUUCUUAUUCAUUUGUUCUGGAGUGCUGAAGAUAUCUCACAAGGCUUGUGUUUCCAUUCUCAACCCGUUCAAGAUAUCUCGAGAUUGUUAUCUCAUUCAAGCCAUUUAAUUCAACCGGUGCAAUCCCCCGCCCCCUUUUCAAUCAAUUGUUCAACGGUGUAUCUUCUGAGUGGGCCCUAACCCACAGGUCUUUUCCCAGGAUCUUACCUGACUCUUCUAAUUAUUCCGGAGCUUUUCCCAAAUUCUUUUCAAAGUGUGACGUAAGAAUGGAUUCCAUCAGUCACAUGCCUUCUCCAAGAUCGCUUUCAAAUUCUUUUCAUUGUUGGCUCAACCUCUUCGCUUUUCAUUCUCCCGGAGUAUCUCAGUAAUUUUGGUGGUGUUUCUCGUUGUCAGUUGAAGAUUGAAGAAGAGUUUUUCCUCUAAAUCUUGUCCCUUCUCUCAAAGAUUCAUGGUUCUAGCUUGAUGCCAUCCUCUCAUAAUUGUUUUCGAUUAUGAGAAUUCUUUUCACCCAUCCGGGGCAUUUCAGGAGUCUUUUCAGUUUGAUUCUCCGGAGCCAUCAUCUCAGAAUUAUUCAUUCUCAACGUGUAGUUGUCGUUCUCCAAAUCUUACCAGUGCAUCAUUCAAGUUUUCUCUAAUCAGUUCAUGAUCUCUGCGUUCUCAUGUAUGUACAUCCCCUCAAGUAUCUUCAUUCGUUCCCCAAUUCUUCCCGGUGAAUUGUGCCUUUGCUACUUUAAUUUUCAAUUCUUACGGUGGUUCGUUCAAGAUUUCACUUCCUUCGUUAUCAUAUCAAUUUAUUGGUUGUUUCAAUCCUACCGGUUGUUCGUCGAAGACCUUCCCAAGUUUGCGAUAUAUCUCUCUUAAUCCUUUCUAUGAGAAUAAGUAGUAUGCCAAAUCCAUUGCUUGUCAUCAAUUUAAACUGAUGAAGGAUAGGCAUGACAUAAUUCUUAUUCUUGUUUCAUCCAAGUGAUUAAUUCUUUCUUUCCAAGAGUUGUUCAUCACGUCACAUUUCCCGGUUCGAGAUGUUUCAUCUUUUCGUUUCCGGAGUUCCAAGUUUUCUCGGUUAUAUCGUCGCAAAGCUCCAUCUAAAUCAUCGCAAGGCUUCACCUUGUGUUUUCAACUUCUCUUUCUUUCUAUCAUCCUUUCAUUACCGGAGUUCUUCAUGGAGGCUCUACAUGGUGGUUCGUCAAGGAUUCUUUUCAUUCUUCAAUUGUUCUUCAAGAUUUCUCUUGAAGUUAUGAUCCGUCAAGCUAUACUCUAAAAUAAACAUGGUGCUCAACACAUGUUUUUGUUUUGGAGGUGCUCAAGUAUUCUUCAUCUUGCAUUCCAAAGUGCAAUUCUUUCUACCUUAUCUUUUGAGGUGGUGUUAUAUCAUUCUUGACAAUUUCCAUUCAUGUUUCGCGAUUCACAUGUUGUCAAGAAUGAGGUAUUUUAAAUCCAUUAAUCUCUUCAUUGGAGUUAUCUUGUGUCAUAUUACACCUAAAGCCUUCCCUAAGGAAUGUUGCUAUUGUGGUGCUUAUAAAUGAUCCAAGUUAUCUCUCUAUCAUCUUGGCGAAGAAGUUUUCAUCUUCUUGUUGAUCUCAAUCCAAUCAACUGUUUCCGUUAGUGGUGGGUUGUCACCCCAUAAUUUUGAGAUGUGUUCCAUAAGCCCACAACAAGCUUGUUCUUUUUGUUGUUGGUUUUCCAACAACUCCGUUAUAACCUUCUUGGAAGGGUGCUUUCCAAAUUCAAUUGUGGUAGAAGUUGCCUUUUUCUUCUCCAUUCUUUUAUUUCAAUGAUCUAUCUUCUAUUCUUUCUUCCGGAGGCAUGGUGAUGUUGCUCUCUUCACUCAUCAUCUCGAAUUGUGAGGACCGUGUUUUUUUUCAUGCUUAUCAAUUUAACCGGAGUGUUGUGUCAUCUCUUCAAGUUCUUUUCAUCUUAUCAAGUUUUCCUUCUCCUUUCAGCCGGAGUGCUGUCCAAAUUCUGUCAUUCUUGUUCCUUGGCUAUCUCAUUAUACCGAGGUGGUCAUAUUCUUUUCGUUCGUGAAGCUCUUAUUUCCAUGUCUUUCAACCUCUUGGUUCUCAUCGUAUCCCGUGUUCCUCGUUUCUAACAGAGUGUUUUCUACUUUGUUCAUCUUCGUUGUUUUCUUUCUUUCAUUUUGCUCAACCUCUCAAGGUUCAUGGUUUCACUCGUUUGUCGAAGAAGCAACUUAGUUUUACCUCUUCUCUUCCUCUUCCUUUUCCCUCCGGUGCCAUCCUAGAUCUCGGGACGAGAUCCUCUCGUAGUGGUGGAGUGUUGUAACGCCCCGAGACCGAUGCUCCAGAUGCCUUCUAUUUAUUUUUGUUGUUUCCAUGAUUGUCAUAAUAAAUUGUUGCAUCAUCAUGCUUGUGUUAUUAGUUUUUCUCACUUUGUGCAUUCCAUCUUCAUGUAUGUUGCCAUAUGCAUUUGCAUCCAUCAUGUUCAUGAUUGCUUGCUUGCUUGUGAGGUUUGUUUUAUUAUUAUUAUUUGCAUCAUGCAUUCGUCUCCAUAUGAUUGUUGUGCUUGUUUUCUUUUACUUGUUCAUGUGCAUUGUGAGAUUCAUCUUGUUACUUUACUUGCGCUAUGUAUGUGUUGAUAUUCCUACCACUUGUUUCCUCUCUCAACCUAUCAAUGCACCAUCUUCUCCUCCUUCCUUCUUCUUUCUUUCAUUGUUGCAAGUGACAUUUUCUCCUCCAUAAAUGUCCAAUAUUUUCCUAUAAAUAUUAGACCAUGUCCUAAACCUCUCUGUCCAAAUUCAUGAUAUAUUAAGUUGAUUUGGUUGGGUUAAAAAAUGGCUCAAGUCUGAAUUUAAUUCAAACUUGAAUUAUUUUUCUAUCCUUAAAAGUGCCCAAAGCAAUUUAUCAAAAUUCUGCACAAAUUCUGGACUCCAGAUAUAUUCUCAUAUCUCUCUCAUGCCUUCCCUUUAUCCCUGAGCUUUUCUCUCUUAUUUUCUGUUUGAGGAAAUUGAGAAAAGAAAGAAUAAGAGGGAGAGAGAGAGCCCAGCUUCCAGCAGCAGCAACGAAGUGGCUAAAGUCGCUCCCUUCGAUCCAGGAGAUCCUGGGUUCAAAACCCAGCACUCCCCCUUUUGUCCUCUAUUUUUAAUUUUCUUUUGCAUGCACACACACUCAGCCGCUUGGGACAAUUCCACUUCUGGGCUUGCACCGUGUGUUGAAUCCGGCCCGUGUAUAUUUUUUCCCUAUCCCAUGUGUUUUAGCAUUUAUUCAUUUUCUGCAUAUUCACAUCAAUGCCAUCAUUUUAAAAUGCUCAUAACUAGAUAUCCAUGCAUCCAAAUAGAUCAUGUCAUAUAUGUAAAAUGCUUAGAAUUUCAUCUAGUUUCACUUUAUGCCACUUUCAUCCAUGUUUAAAAUGCUUAAACUUGCUGUUUGCUUUAUUUUUGCAUAAGUGCCAUGUUAAAAUGAUUUAUUUCAUAACUAAAUAACCGUAACUCCAAUUUUUAAUAAACUUUAUAUGUAAAUGGGGUGGAAAAAUGCAUAGAUUAACUUGGUGCACUUUGUUUUACUGUUUAACAACAUUAAAAUAUGUCUUAGGGCAGAACAGUACCAAAUUCAUAAUUUGCAUAUGGGGAUUUUCCGGAAUUGUUGUUUGUUGUUUCCGACCUCAUUUAAACUUGCCUAGAUAGGUAGUUUUAUUGUGUUGCACCUCUGACCAUGUUAAUAACAUUUAAUAUUGUUGGGUAGCAUAAACGAGAGUGAAUUAAAUAAUUGGAUGUGGUGUUUCAUCAAUAUGCAACUCGUUGCAUAUUGAGCUCCACUUAAAUUGUAAUAUUGUUUGUUGCACGUUGCCAUGCCAUGACUCAUUAAACCGGACAUGCAUCAUACUUGAUUGUGCAUCAUGUCAUGGUUAUGCUUGAGUGUUUACUAUGUUGUUUGCUUCUUUCCGGUUUACUUCUCUCAUUAGCUUCGGUUUCGUUCCGGAGUUGUGAGGAUUCGUUCGACUACUCCCGUUCGUCUUCUUCAUGGACUCAUUCUUCUUCCUAGCAGGAUUUCAGGCAAGAUGACCAUCACCUUGGAUCUCAUUACUAUCAUUGCUAUGCUAGAUUGCUUCGUUCUAUCGCUUUGCUGCGCUACCUAUCUCUUGCUCAUCAAGCCUCCCAGUUUGUCAUGUCAGCCUCUAACCUUUUUCACCCUUCUUAGCAAACCAUUGCUUGGCUAUGUUACCGCUUUUGCUCAGCCCCUCUUAUAGCGUUGUUAGUUGCAGGUGAAGUUGAAGAUGCUCCAUGGUGGACAGGAUUAUGUUGGGAUAUCACAAUAUCUCUUAUGUAAUUAAUGCAUCUAUAUACUUGGUAAAGGGUGGAAGGCUCGGCCUUAUGCCUGGUGUUUUGUUCCACUCUUGCCGCCCUAGUUUCCGUCAUAUCGGUAUUAUGUUCCCGGAUUUUGCGUUCCUUACGCGGUUGGGUGAUUUAUGGGACCCCCGUGACAGUUCGCUUUGAAUAAAACUCCUCCAGCAAGGCCCAACCUUGGUUUUACCAUUUGCCUCACCACCACCUAUACCCUUCCCUUGGGUCGGCCAGCUCGAGGGUCAUCUUUAUUUUAGCCCCCCCGGGCCAAUGCUUGUCUAAGUGUUGGUCCGAACCGAGUAGACUGCGGGGCCCCCUCGGGGAAACUCGAGGUCUGGUUUUACUCGUAGGAUGUCUCAUCCAGUGUUGCCCUGAGAACGAGAUAUGUGCAGCUCCUAUCGGGAUUGUCGGCGCAUCGGGCGGCUUUGCUGGUCUUGUUUUACCACUGUCGAAAUGUCUUGUAAACCGGGAUUCCGAGUCUGAUCGGGUCUUCCUGGGAGAAGGUAUAUCCUUCGUUGAUCGCGAGAGCUUAUCAUGGGCUAAGUUGGGACACCCCUGCAGGGUUUAAACUUUCGAAAGCCGUGCCCGCGGUUAUGUGGUAGAUGGGAAUUUGUUAAAGUCCGGUUGUAGAUAACUUGACACCAGAUCCGAAUUAAAACGCAUCAACCGCGUGUGUAGCCGUGAUGGUCUCUUUUCGGCGGAGUCCGGGAAGUGAACACGGUUUUGGGUUAUGUUUGACGUAAGUAGGAGUUCAGGAUCACUUCUUGAUCAUUGCUAGCUUCACGACCGUUCCUUUGCUUCUCUUCUCGCUCUUAUUUGCGUAUCUUAGCCACCAUACUUGCUUAGUUGCUGCUGCAACCUCACCACUUUACCCCUUCCUUUCCCUUUAAGCUUUGCUAGUCUUGAUACCCAUGGUAAUGGGAUUGCUGAGUCCUCGUGGCUCACAGAUUACUACAACAACAGUUGCAGGUACAGGUUAUGCAACGAUCAUGACGCGAGAGCGAUGUUUGCUUGUUUUGGAGUUCUUCUUCUGCUUCUUCUUUGAUCAGGGGAUACGUUCUAGGUCGGCAGCCUGGGCUAGCAGGGUGGAUGUCAUUUGAGUUUCUGUUUGUGUUUCAUCCAUAGUCGGAUGAUGCUCUUAUGUAUUGAUGAUGUUGUAUUCAUGUGGCAUUGUAUGCCCCUUGUAUGUAUCCCCAUCUAUUAUGUAAUGUUGAUGUAAUGAUAUCCACCUUGCAAAAGCGUUUCAAUAUGCGGUUCUAUCCUUGGUGGGACCUUCGAGUCUCUUUAGGAUAGUAUCGCAUAUUGGGCAUGACAAAAGUAACUUAGCAAAGAUCAAUAUGUGAAAAGAUCGUAGGCAUUGGAUUGGCAAUGAUAAUUGUGUUAGAUGAUAUUCAUCAUGUAGCAGUUAUAACCUAGAGUGACACAGAACUAGCUCCAAUUCAUUAAUAUAAUGUAGGCAUGUAUUCCGUAUAUAUUCAGACGUGCUUAUGGAAAAGAACUUGCAUGACAUCUUUUGUCCUACCCUCCCAUGGCAGCAGGGUCCUCAUGGAAACUAAGGGAUAUUAAGGCCUCCUUUUAAUAGAGAACCGGACCAAAGCAUUAGCACUUAGUGAAUACAUGAACUCCUCAAACUAUGGUAAUCACCAGAAAGAAUCCCAAUUAUUGUCACCUUGGGGUAUGCGGAUCCUAACUCGUAAUAGGUGUCUACAACUUGCAAGAUAGGAUCAAGAACACACAUAUAUUCAGGAAAACAUAAUAGGUUCAGAUCUAAAAUGAUGGCACUCGGGCCCUAGUGACAAGCAUUAAGCAUAGCAAAGUCAUAGCAACAUCAAUCUUAGAACAUAGUGGAUACUAGGGAUCAAACCCUAACAAAACUAACCCGAUUACAUGAUAAAUCUCAUCCAACCCAUCACCAUCCAGCAAGCCUACGAUGGAAUUACUCACUCCCUGCGAGGAGUGUCAUGAAAUUGGUGAUGGAGGAAGGUUGGUGAUGAUGAUGGCGAUGAAUCCCCCUCUUCAGAGCCCCGAACGGACUCCAGACCAGCCCUCCUGAUGAAGAACAGGAGGCGGCUGUCAUGCCCAAUAUGCGACCCUAUCCAAAAGGAACUCGAAGGUCCCUCCAAGGAUAGACCCGCAUAUUGAAACGCUUUUGCAAGGUGGAUAUCAUUACAUCAACAUUACAUAAUAGAUGGGGAUACAUACAAGAGGCAUACAAUGCUACAUGAAUACAACAUCACAAUACAUGAGAGCAACAUCCGACUACGGAUGAAACACAAACGGAAGCUCAAACAACAUCCACCCUGCUAGCCCAGGCUGCCGACCUGGAACCUAUCCCCUGAUCGAAGAAGUAGAAGAAGAACUCAAGCAAGCAAGUAUCGCUCUCGCGUCAUGAUCAUCGCAAAACCUGUACCUGCAACUGUUGUUGUAGUAAUCUGUGAGCCACGAGGACUCAGCAAUCCCAUUACCAUGGGUAUCAAGACUAGCAAAGCUUAAAGGGAAUGGAAGGGGGUAAAGUGGUGAGGUUGCAAAAGCGACUAAGCAUAUAUGGUGGCUAACAUACGCAAAUAAGAGCGAGAAGAGAGCAAACAGAACGAUCGUCAACUAGUAAUGAUCAAGAAGUGAUCCUGAACUCCUACUUACGUCAAACAUAACCCAAAGACAGUGUUCACUUCCCGGACUCAGCCGAAAAGAGACCAUCACGGCUACACACGCGGUUGAUGCAUUUUAAUUCGGAUCUGGUGUCAAGUUAUCUACAACCGGACAUUAACAAAUUUCCAUCUGCCUAUAACCGCAGGCAUGGCUUUUGAAAGAUUAUACCCUGCAGGGGUGUCCCAACUUAGCCCAUGAUAAGCUCUCGCGAUCAACGAAGGAUAUUCCUUCUCCCAGGAAGACCCGAUCAGACUCGGAAUCCUAGUUUACCAGACAUUUCGACAAUGGUAAAACAAGACCAGCAAGACCUCCCGCUGUGUCAACAAAUCCCGAUAGGAGCUGCACAUAUCUCGUUCACAGGGCACACCGGAUGAGCAAGACGUCGGGUUGGCAUAGACCCUGGUUGCCCAGGGGGCGCUGGACAUCGCUCGGUUUGGACCAACACUUAGACAAGCACUGGCCCGGGGGGUAAAAUAAAGAUGACCCUCGAGAGCGCGACUCCCAAGGGAAAAAGGGCUAGGUGAGGCAAAUGGUAAAACCAAUGUUGGGCCUUGCUGGAGGAGUUUUAUUCAAAGCAAACUGUCAAGGGGGUCCCAUAAAUCACCCGACCGCGUAAGGAACGCAAAAUCCAGGAACAUAACACCGGUAUGAAGGAAACUAGGGCGGCAAGAGUGGAACAAAACACCAGGCAUAAGGCUGAGUCUUCCACCCUUUACCAAGUAUAUAGAUGCAUUAAUAAUAUAAGAGAUGUUGUGAUAUCCCAACCAAAAUCCUGUCCACCAUGGAGAAAUCUUCAACUUCACCUGCAACUAGCAACGCUAUAAGAGGGGCUGAGCAAAGUGGUAACAUAGCCAAGCGAUGGUUUGCAUAGGAAAGGUGUCAAAGGUUAGAGGUUCAUGGCAAUUUGGGAUGGCUUGAUAAACAGGUGAUAGGUAGCACAGCAUAGUGAUAGAACGAAGCAACUAGCAUAGCAAUGAUAGUAGUGAGAUCCAGGGUAGCGGUCAUCUUGCCUGAAAUCCCGCAAGGAAGAAGAACGAGUCCAUGAAGAAGACGAAGCCACGAAGACGAACCAAGCGUAGACGAACGAGUCCUCAUGAUCGCAACGAAACAGGAACUAUCGAGAAGAAGCACACAACAAGGUAAACAAACAACACAUGAACAAGGCAUGAUGCACAACCAAGCAUGAUGCAUGACAAAGCUACAUGAGGCUACUCAUGGCAAGAAAUGAUGCAAACAAGAGCAACACAUCAAGGCAAGUUUAAAUGAGGCCGGGAACAACAUAUAACCAUUCGAGUAAGUCCUCAUAUGCAAAUUUCGAAAUUGGUCCAGAUCCGAAUAAACCUUAUAUUCAAGUUGUUAAACAGCAAGUUAAGAUGCACAAGGAUGAUCUACACGAGAUUCUAGUCAAGUUACAUAUAAAGUUCAUUUAGUUCAGAGCUACGGCCUAGAAGAUAUGAGCAAAACAAGUUAAACAUGGCAUUGAUGCGAAAUGCAUACAAACAUCAAGCAAACACCUCAAAACAUGGAUGCAACAUGAUAAUAUGAAACUACAUACAAAAUCAAGCAAGUUUCAUAUAGAGCACACUCAAGACGGAGCAACGGUGCAACACAUACACUCUAUACAAGUCAUAACAACAAUCUGUCCAAAACAGCAACUAGGCAUAUUGCAAGCAUCAAACCAACAUGCUACAGGACCUCAACAAGAAAACAAAAGGCAUGGACAUGAUGUACAGGUAAAGCAUAACAAAACAUGAACACUGAACUAUCUCCAGAAAUCACUAGAACAUCCGCAAACACACAUGGCAAGAUUGCAAAUAAUAACAGUUUCAGACUUUAGCAGAAAAUAACAUCAGGUUGCAAUGUUUAGAGCUAUCAAACAACAUGUUACAGGAACUUAUCAUGGCAAACAAAGGCAUUCCAUGAUACUACUAAAUGCAUAUAUCAAAUGUCCUUUACUGACCAUAAGCCAAAAAGGAUCAGAAAAUAUGAUGGCACCCACGUAAACAUGGCAAGUUAUAUUACAGAUUCAUACAUGGCAGGAACAGAAUUAUGAAGGCAUGUAGAUGAGCUUGUGCAACUCACUACAAAGUAAUAUAUGGCAUGAAAAUGCAACCAACAGUAACAAGACAUGUUUAUGGAGCAAAGCAUGUCAAGAGAAAGUUCAUAGGGUGCAUGGAUCACUAGGAAUCACAUGGCAAAACUGAACUUCAUGUUAACAGGCUGACAGCAACAUCAUUUAGCAAGUUUGGAGCAAGAUAUGAACAACCUACAGCAAGCUAUAAAUUCAACCAGGGGCAUGGAUGGAUAGAGCAUAACCAUAUGUUCAAAACAUCCUUACGGAAGUAUCUCAAAAUAAGCAUGGAUCUCUCUGUAGCAUCAAGUUUACAUGGCAUAAAAAUAACAGAAGAACAGAGACUGAAAUCAGCAACAUCACGAGGCCUAGUUUACACUCUUGUGCUAGUCACCACAUUGAUCACAAAAAUACAUGGCAUACACCCCUGGAAAGAUGGCAUGGCAUAGAUCAAAACAUAUGUAGACAUGAACCUCAUAGGAUGCACACAUCAAUCAUGGCAAAAAUGACAAAUGAGCAUGUUAUAACAGAUUCAGCAGAUUAACAACAACAUGCACUCUUGCAACGAUGAUUCAGGCAUCAAGAUGAGCUCAAAUGAACAUGAUGCAAUGGAAUGAAAUGAUGCACUCGUUGAGGCGAACAAUUUGACAUAUUACACGCACAAAACGGAUCUAUGGAUGCAGAGAUACGAUGCGAUGAACAUGACAUGAUAAUGUCAAAAUAUAGGGACUUAGGCAUAUUUUAGGGGGAAAAACAUGCGGGCGCAAUAUAAUUAUGUGACGCCCGGGCGGGGAUUAGGUGUCCUGCUCACCUAGUGGGCUCGGCCCAGGUUGCGGGGAGGAGGUUGGCCAGGCCGGGCGGGGCUGGGCCGGCAGCAGGCCGGUUCGGGGCCCACGCGGGGGUGGCGAACGGAGGCGUCGUCCUCCUUGAUCGGAUCGGCCGCGAGCAGGACCAGGGCGGCGGCGGCCGGCGGUCAACGGUGAUGGGGAGGUGCUCCGGCGAGGGGCGGAGGCCGGGGAAGGCCGGAAUAGGGAGAUCCGGGGUCGGGGAUCCCGGAUCCGGCGAACACCGGGGGCGCGGAGGUCAGCGACGAGCUCGGCGGCGGGGAUGGCUUACUCCGGCGAUGGGGCCGGUGACCCUGUGCGAGAGAGAGAGAGAGAGAGAGAGAGAGAGAGAGAGGCGGGGUCAGGGAGAGAGAGGAGGAAGCCGGACGGGGGGCGGUGCGACCUGGCGUGGCGGCGUGGAUGCUUACCGGCGGCAGGGACGGGAGGCAAGGCGGCGGGGCGCCAGACUCCGGCGACGGCGGCAUUGCGCGGACGGAGGAGCCACGGGGCUCUGGCGCGUGCGCGGGCUACUGCGGGCUACGGCGGCGCGACUCGGACUUUGCGCGGGCCCGCGAUGGGCUCAGCGGGCCGCGGCCGUGGGGGAAGGCUGGGUGGCGACGUGGCGGCUGCGGGUUGGCCGGGACAGCGGCGACAAUGACGUGGCAGGCCGCGAUUGGCCGGAGUGAGGUGGCUGCGGGGCGGUGGACGCGUCCGGCGACGGGCGGACAUGUCCGGCGGCUGAGAGGGAGAGGGCUAGGGUUUCAUCUGCGAUUUGGACGGGGAGGGACACAUAUUUAUAGGUAGAGGGAGCUAGGAGAGUCCAAAUGAGGAGCGGUUUUCGGCCACGCGAUCGUGAUCGCACGACCGAGAGCAUGGAGGGGAGUUAGAUGGGUUUUGGGCCACUUUGGAGGGGUUGCUGGGCUGCAAGAGAAAAGGGGGUUUACGGUUACCCGGUUAACCGUUGGAGUACCAAACGAACCCCAAAUGGCACGAAACUUGAUAGGUGGUCUACCAGCGGUAUACCAAGGCCACUUGGCAAGCCUCGUGCCAUUCCGAGAAAGUUUAACACCCGCUCACAACGAGAGAUGAAAGAGGAACGCCGGAGGACAUAGGAGCGCCGGAUUGCAAAUUGGACAACGGGGAAAAUGCUCGGAUGCAUGAGACGAACACGUAUGCAAUGCAAUGCGUAUGAUGACAUGAUAAAAUGCAACACGCCAGCAAAUGACAUGGCAACGACGGCGAAUAACUGGCGGACACCUGGCGCAUCGAAUCUGGGGCGUUACAACACUCCACUAACAAGAGAUCUCGUCCCGAGAUCAUAGGACCGAGACGAAAGGGAAAAGGAUGAGGUGAAGCAAGAACUGAAGAGAAGAAGCAAAGAAUCGAGAGCACUCGAGAAGAAGAGAGGAACGACGAGAAUGAAGAGAAUCGAAAGCUCACGGAAUCAGAUAGACUAUGAAACCACUCCGGUUAUAAUGAGAUAAGAAACAAAUAAGACUGAAAGGAUUUAGGCAGCACUCCGGUUGAAUAAGGAAAGAAUAGAAGAUGAGCUUCACCCAAAGAGAUGGCACUUGACGAGAUGAACAAUGCAAUGCCUCCGGAAGAAUUGAAAGAAUUUAAUGAAAAGAACUUAGCAGGAAGGGAUGAACAGAGUUGUUGAGAAAAUGAACAACGAAAGAAUAAGCUUGUUGUGGUCUUAUAGAUAACAUCUCAAAAUUAUGAGGUGAUAACCGGCACAAAUGGAAAUGAUUGAAUAGCUGAGAAGAACGAAGAAAUGCAAAACUCCACUUCAAAAGAAUACGGAGAAUUACUUGCACAUCGAGAUGCGAGAAGAAAAGAUACUUGAACUCCAGCAAUAAGAAUCUUGAUGAACACUUGAAGAAAAGAAUUGAAUCAUGAAGAACCACCAUGAGGAACUCCGGUGACAAAAGGAUGAUGAGAUAAAAUUGAAGGAUGAAAGAAUAAGAUGAGCCUUGCGAUGAUUUAGAUGGAGGUUCCGACGAAAUGGCUGAGGAAAAUUUGAACUCCGGAAAAGAAAAGAUGAAAACACUUGGAACUAGAAUUUAUUCAUCAAGAACAAACUCCGAAGAAAAAGAGAUUAAUCACUUUGAGGAAAUAAGAAUAAGAUUUAUUGUAUGCUUCUCCUUCAUCAAAUUAAAUUGAUGACAAGCAAUGGAUUUUUGCAUACUACUUAUUCUUAUUGAAAAGGAUUGAGAAGUGACAUAACGCAAACUUGAGAAAGUCUUCAUGAACCACCGGUAGGAUUGAAAAGAACGAAUGAAUUGAUAUGAUAAUCAAAGAAAAAGAAUCUUGAACGAACCACCGUAAGAAUUCGAAAAUGACUGAUGAAGGAGAAUGAAACACCGGGAAGAAUUAGAAAACAAAUAUGCUUGAGGGGAUUUAGAUGCCAGAGAACGGGAAGAACUCGAGCUGUUUAACGAACAUUUGAACGAAGCGUCGGGACAAAUAGAGAACGAUAACUGGAAUGAUGGCCUUUGGUGAAAGAAACGGAAAAACAACUUCUGACAUACUCCGGAUGGUUAAGAAAAGACCAACUGACGAAUGGAAUAAUUCGAAAGGAUAGCAUGAAGCUAAAAGCACGAAACUUCGAGAGAACUGGCAAGAUUUAGAGGAAGACUCUUCUUCGGUCUUCAAAUGACGAUGAGAAACACCACCAAAAUUACUGAGAUACUCUGGGAGAAUGAAAAAUGAAGAGGUUGAGCCAACAAUGAAAUGAAUUGAAAUCGAUCUUGUAAAAGCAUCUGACUGAUGAAAUUCAUUCUUACGUCAGACUUGAAAAGAAUUUGAGAAUAGCUCCGGGGUAAUUAGAAGAGUCAGGUAAGAUCCUAGGAAAAGACCUGCAGGUUAGGGCCCACUAAGAGAAAACACCGUUGGAAAAGAUUGUUGAACAGAUAGAUGAUGCACCGGAACAAUUGAAAUAUUUGAAUUAGGUGCCAACCUCGAAUUAAUUCGAACACAGACAAAUCUCUUGAGAUAUCUUGAGCACCGGAAUGAUUGAAUGGCGAGAGGCAAACGAGCAAGGAGAACACUUCGAAGGAAAAGAAUAUGAUUAACCCAAAAGACUUGAAUUGGGUCCACCGGAAAAAGAAAGGGAUGACGAAUUACGAAUGAGACGAGAAUUCACCGGUUGAAACAAUUGAUGAAAGACUGAAGGGUUCCGCACGAAUGAAAUUGAUGCUCGAAAGAGACUCAAACUCCGGGAAGAAAAGGGUGGGAGGGCGGGAAAACAAAGGCAACUUGGAAGGGGAAACCGUCGAAUAACUUGAAGAGAAGACACAGGUUGAAAGAAAGCAAAGGCUUCACACGAGUAGGAUGGAUACUCGAUUACGAACUCCGGCUUCGAGAAGAAAAAGGGUGGGAGGGUGGGAAAAGAAAACAACUGAGGAUUGAACUCAAAGAUGAAGAGGCUCGAAUCAACUUGACGAGAAAUGCACCGGAUGAAAAGAGCUGAGGAACAACGAUCGGAAAACCAAUUGCGUGAUCCUAAAGAAAAAUUUGAAGGGGAAGAGGAGUAAUUCAAAACACCUACGUCAAGAUUCCUUACCAGAGCGACGAAGAGGCUGAGGAGUAAAAAGAAUUCCUACUCUCCGAUAUAACUAGACUCCGAAAACAGUUUUCUUCUAGACGCAACAACGGCCAAACUACACGAUCAAUCAAGGGGGCUCCUAGGGUAGGUCGAGGCUCUGAUACCAACUUGUCACGCCCAAUAUGCGACCCUAUUCAAAAGGAACUUGAAGGUCCCACCAGGGAUAGACCAGCAUAUUGAAACGCUUUUGCAAGGUGGAUAUCAUUACAUCAACAUUACAUAAUAGAUGGGGAUACAUACAAGAGGCAUACAAUGCCACAUGAAUACAACAUCACAAUACAUGAGAGCAACAUCCGACUACGGAUGAAACACAAACAGAAGCUCAAACGACAUCCACCCUGCUAGCCCAGGCUGCCGACCUGGAACCUAUCCCCUGAUCGAAGAAGUACAAGAAGAACUCAAGCAAGCAAGCAUCGCUCUCGCGUCAUGAUCAUCGCAAAACCAGUACCUGCAACUGUUGUUGUAGUAAUCUGUGAGCCACGAGGACUCAGCAAUCCCAUUACCAUGGGUAUCAAGACUAGCAAAGCUUAAAGGGAAUGGAAGGGGGUAAAGUGGUGAGGUUGCAGCAGCGACUAAGCAUAUAUGGUGGCUAACAUACGCAAAUAAGAGUGAGAAGAGAGCAAACGGAACGAUCGUCAACUAGUAAUGAUCAAGAAGUGAUCCUGAACUCCUACUUACGUCAAACAUAACCCAAAGACCGUGUUCACUUUCCGGACUCCGCCGAAAAGAGACCAUCACGACUACACACGUGGUUGAUGCAUUUUAAUUCGGAUCUGGUGUCAAGUUAUCUACAACCAGAGAUUAAAAAUUCCCAUUUGCCUAUAACCGCAGGCAUGGCUUUCGAAAGAUUAUACCCUGCAGGGGUGUCCCAACUUAGCCCAUGAUAAGCUCUCGCGAUCAACGAAGGAUAUUCCUUCUCCCAGGAAGACCCGAUCAGACUCGGAAUCCCGGUUUACAAGACAUUUCAACAAUGGUAAAACAAUACCAGCAAGACCUCCCGCUGUGCCGACAAAUCCCGAUAGGAGCUGCACAUAUCUCGUUCUCACGGCACACCGGAUGAGCAAGACGUCGGGUUGGCAUAGACCCUGGUUGCCCAGGGGGCGCAGGACAUCGCUCGGUUUGGACCAACACUUAGACAAGCACUGGCCCGGGGGGGUAAAAUAAAGAUGACCCUCAAGAGCGCGACUCCCAAGGGAAAAAGGGCUAGGUGAGGCAAAUGGUAAAACCAAUGUUGGGCCUUGCUGGAGGAGUUUUAUUCAAAGGGAACUAUCAAGGGGGUCCCAUAAAUCACCCGACCGCGUAAGGAACACAAAAUCCGGGAACAUAACACCGGUAUGACGGAAACUAGGGCGGCAAGAGUGGAACAAAACACCAGGCAUAAGGCCGAGUCUUCCACCCUUUACCAAGUAUAUAGAUGCAUUAAUAAUAUAAGAGAUAUUGUGAUAUCCCAACCAAAAUCCUGUCCACCAUGGAGAAAUAUUCAACUUCACCUGCAACUAGCAACGCUAUAAGAGGGGCUGAGCAAAGCGGUAACAUAGCCAAGCAACGGUUUGCAUACGGAAGGUGUCAAAGGUUAGAGGUUCAUGGCAAUUUGGGAUGGCUUGAUAAACAGGUGAUAGGUAGCGCAGCAUAGCGAUAGAACGAAGCAACUAGCAUAGCAAUGAUAGUAGUGAGAUCCAGGGUAGCGGUCAUCUUGCCUGAAAUCCCGCAAGGAAGAAGAAUGAGUCCAUGAAGAAGACGAAGCCACGAAGACGAACCAAGCGUAGACGAACGAGUCCUCACGAUCGCAACGAAACAGGAACUAUCGAGAAGAAGCACACAACAAGGUAAACAAACAACACAUGAACAAGGCAUGAUGCACAACCAAGCAUGAUGCAUGACAAAGCUACAUGAGGCUACUCAUGGCAAGAGAUGAUGCAAACAAGAGCAACACAUCAAGGCAAGUUUAAAUGAGGCCGGGAACAACAUAUAACAAUUCCGGUAAGUCCUCAUAUGCAAAUUUCGAAAUUGGUCCAGAUCUGAAUAAACCUUAUAUUCAAGUUGUUAAACAGCAAGUUAAGAUGCACAAGAAUGAUCUACACGAGAUUCUAGUCAAGUUACAUAUAAAGUUCAUUUAGUUCGGAGCUACGGCCUAGAAGAUAUGAGCAAAACAAGUUAAACAUGGCAUUGAUGCGAAAUGCAUACAAACAUCAAACAAACACCUCAAAACAUGGAUGCAACAUGAUAAUAUGAAACUACAUACAAAAUCAAGCAAUUUUCAUAUAGAGCACACUCAAAACGGAGCAACGGUGCAACACAUACACUCUAUACAAGUCAUAACAACAAUCUGUCCAACACAGCAACUAGGCAUAUUGCAAGCAUCAAAACAACAUGCUACAGGACCUCAACAAGAAAACAAAAGGCAUGGACAUGAUGUACAGGUAAAGCAUAACAAAACAUGAACACUGAACUAUCUCCAGAAAUCACUAGAACAUGCGCAAACACACAUGGCAAGAUUGCAAAUAAUAACAGUUUCAGACUUUAGCAGAAAAUAACAUCAGGUUGCAAUGUUUAGAGCUAUCAAACAACAUGUUACAGGAACUUAUCAUGGCAAACAAAGGCAUGGCAUGAUACUACUAAACGCAUAGAUCAAAUGUCCUUUACUGACCAUAAGCCAAAAAGAAUCAGAAAAUAUGAUGGCACCCACGUAAACAUGGCAAGUUAUAUUACAGAUUCAUACAUGGUAGGAACAGAAUUAUGAAGGCAUGUAGAUGAGCUUGUGCAACUCACUACAGAGCAAUAUAUGGCAUAGAAAGGCAACCAACAGUAAGAAGACAUGUUUAUGGAGCAAAGCAUGUCAAGAGCAAGUUCAUAGGGUGCAUGGAUCACUAGGAAAUCACAUGGCAAAACUGAACUUCAUGUUAACAGGCUAACAGCAACAUCAUUUAGCAAGUUUGGAGCAAGAUAUGAACAACCUACAGCAAGCUAUAAAUUCAACCAGGGGCAUGGAUGGAUAGAGCAUAACCAUAUGUUCAAAACAUCCUUACUGAAGUAUCUCAAAAUAAGCAUGGAUCUCUCUGUAGCAUCAAGUUUACAUGGCAUAAAAAUAACAGCAGAACAGGGACUAAAAUCAGCAACAUCACGAGGCCUAGUUUACAUGCUUGUGCUAGUCACCACAUUGAUCACAAAAAUACAUGUCAUACACCCUUGGAAAGAUGGCAUGGCAUAUAUCAAAACAUAUGUAGACAUCAACCUCAUAGGAUGCACACAUCAGUCAUGGCAAAAAUGACAAAUGAGCAUGUUAUAACAGAUUCAGCAGAUUAACAGCAACAUGCACUCUUGCAACGAUGCUUCAGGCAUCAAGAUGAGCUCAAAUGAACAUGAUGCAAUGAAAUGAAAUGAUGCACUCGUUGAGAUGAACAAUUUAACAUAUUACACGCACAAAACGGAUCUACGGAUGCAGAGAUACGAUGCGAUGAACAUGGCAUGAUAAUGUCAAAAUACAGGGACUUGGGCAUAUUUCAGGGAAAAAACAUGUGGGCGCAAUAUAAUUAUGUGACGCCCGGGCGGGGAUUAGGUGUCCUGCUCACCUAGUGGGCUCGGCCCAGGUUGCAGGGAGGAGGUUGGCCAGGCCGGGCGGGGCUGGGCCGGCAGCAGGCCGGUUCGGGGCCCACGCGGGGGUGGCGAACGGAGGCGUCGUCCUCCUGGAUCGGAUCGGCCGCGAGCAGGACCAGGGGCGGCGGCGGCCGACGGUCAACGGCGAUGGNNNNNNNNNNNNNNNNNNNNNNNNNNNNNNNNNNNNNNNNNNNNNNNNNNNNNNNNNNNNNNNNNNNNNNNNNNNNNNNNNNNNNNNNNNNNNNNNNNNNNNNNNNNNNNNNNNNNNNNNNNNNNNNNNNNNNNNNNNNNNNNNNNNNNNNNNNNNNNNNNNNNNNNNNNNNNNNNNNNNNNNNNNNNNNNNNNNNNNNNNNNNNNNNNNNNNNNNNNNNNNNNNNNNNNNNNNNNNNNNNNNNNNNNNNNNNNNNNNNNNNNNNNNNNNNNNNNNNNNNNNNNNNNNNNNNNNNNNNNNNNNNNNNNNNNNNNNNNNNNNNNNNNNNNNNNNNNNNNNNNNNNNNNNNUGGGUGGCGACGUGGCGGCUGCGGGUUGGCCGGGACGGCGGCGACGACGACGUGGCAGGCCGCGAUUGGCCGGAGUGAGGUGGCUGCGGGGCGGUGGACGCGUCGGGCAGCGGGCGGACAUGUCCGGCGGCUGAGAGGGAGAGGGCUAGGCUUUCAUCUGCGAUUUGGACGGGGAGGGACACAUAUUUAUAGGUAGAGGGAGCUAGGAGAGUCCAAAUGAGGAGCGGUUUUCGGCCACGCGAUCGUGAUCGAACGACCGAGAGCAUGGAGGGGAGUUAGAUGGGUUUUGGGCCACUUUGGAGGGGUUGCUUGGCUGCAAGAGAAAAGGGGGUUUACGGUUACCCAGUUAACAGUUGGAGUAGCAAACGAACCCCAAAUGGCACGAAACUUGACAGGCGGUCUACCGGCGGUAUACCAAGGCCACUUGGCAAGCCUCGUGCCAUUCCGAGAAAGUUUAACACCCGCUCACAAUGAGAGACGAAAGGGGAACGCCGAAGGACAUAGGAGCGCCGGAUUGCAAAACGGACAACGGGGAAAAUGCUCGGAUGCAUGAGACGAACACGUAUGCAAUGCAAUGCGUAUGAUGACAUGAUAAAAUGCAACACGCAAGCAAAUGACAUGGCAACGACGGCGAAUAACUGGCGGACACCUGGCGCAUCGAAUCCGGGGCGUUACAGCGGCAGCAGCUCCGUAUCAUAAAACACGAUGAUUCCUUCUCUCUGAUUUUUUUUCUCCUUGAAUAGGGUUAUAUAGAGUUGGAGUUGAGGUCAUAGGAGGUCCAGGGGGCCCAAAAGCCCUUUAGGCAUGCCCCAGGGGGGCGCUCCCUAGGCUUGUGGCCUCUGGGUGGACCCCCUCUUGUUAAUUCUUGCUCCAGUAUUUUUACAUAUUCCACAAAAAUUCUCCAUAAAUUUUCAGGUCAAUCCGAGAACUUUGAUUUCUGCACAAAAAUAACACCAUGGCAAUUCUGCUAAAAGCAACGUCAGUCCGGGCUAGUUUCAUUCAUCAUGCAAAUUAGGGUCCAAAACAAGGGAAAAGUAGUUUGGAAAAGUAGAUGUGAUGGAGACAUAUCAACUCCCCGAAGCCUAACCCGUUGCUUGUCCUCAAGCAAUUCAGGUGACAAACUGAAAGUGACAAAGAAAAACUUUUACAAACUCUGUUUGAUCUUAUUGUUGCAAAUAUGUCUAGCCAAUAUUCAAAUUUUCAGCAAAGGUUGAGAACUAACCAUAUUGACAAUAACAUUUAGGUCUCACGUUUACACAUAUUAAUGGCAUAAUAACCCCGCGAGUAAUAAUAAUAAAUCUUGGAUGACAACACUUUUUUCAAAACAAUCAUGAUACAAUAUGAUAAAAUGGUAUCUCGCUAGCCCUUUCUGAGACCGCAAAACAUAAAUGCGGAGUACCCCUGAAGAUCAAGGACUAACUAGACAUUAUAAUUCAUGGCAAAAGAGAUCCAGUCACACUCAUACUCAACAUGAAUUAAUAACAAAGCAUACAAAUGACAGUGGUGCUCUCUAACUGGUUCUUUUUAUAAGAGGAUGAUGACUCAACAAUAAAAGUAAAUAGAUAGGCCAUUCGCAGAGGGAAGCAGGUGUGACAGCCUGGAUUUGCCUUCUCUCUUUUCCCGGACUUUCUUGUGCCUUUGCUUUGGAUUUGGAGUUUGGAAUCAAUUCAAAUGGACUUGAGCACAUGGGCCUACCCUUGAUUUUCACCCAAGUGACCCAUCCACCCCUAACUCAACUUUCUUUCUCGGAAAAACUCCCAAAAAUGACCCAAGGAAUAUUUUUCAUAAAAGAAAAAUAUUCAUUUUCUUCUUUGAAAAUCACUUCAGAGAAGUAUGCUCCAAAGCAACCCUCAUUUUUAUUGCUCCUAAAAUCCUGAGAAAAUUCACAAAUAUUCUUUGAAUCCUAGGGCACCUCCCUGAGCAAAAAUAUUGCAUUACUUUUUGGAAUAUUUUUGCUACAGAAAAUCAUUUCUGUUAUGGACAGAAUAGCCACUUUACACAACAAGUAUGUUUUUCCUUGAUCCAAUGAGGCUGAUACUUUCUGAGCUUUAUUACCUUCCUAAGAGAUUGCUAAACCCCAAAUCCCAGCCCUUAACUCUUACCGAAUCACUCACAGUUAACCUCACAAGUUAUUGUCCAGAAACUUACCAAGAAGUAAACCACACUCUCACAGCUCCUGGGUUCAACUCAAAUCGUUGGAACCACUCAAACCACUAAGGACUACAUGCCAGACAUGAAGUUUGUGCUUAGCACAGCCUGAUGGUAUAGUUCACGUGGUGACCGCGUUCGCCCAGGGGUGCUGGCAUGUAGCCGGCGUGCUCUGCGAUGCACCCGCGCUUCUGUUGAGUGCGUGCUUGCUUCCCCGACCACCACACCUUGGCAAACCUCGCCACCAUCCUCGUCUCCACCCCCUUAACUCUGCCCUGGCACUCGCUGACACCAGAGCUCACUGUAGCAAGCACGAGGACGGCACGGCCAAGCCAACAGUGUGCCCGUGCCACUAUGCUCGUCACGUUCCUGGCUCCUGUGCUCAUCUCCGCCCUCCCAUAGUGCCCGCAUGACCUGCGUCGCCUUCUCCCCCUCUCGCUAACGUCGUUCGUCACCGGGCUCCAUGUCCAUAAGCUUCAUGGUAGAGCCCAAUCCCCUCCUCUCGCUCGCCUAUAUAUACGGGCCCCUCACGACUUCUUGAGCAUCACCGCACACACCCACAACCUCCACGAGCUCGUAGAACAGCCGUAGCCCGGCCGGGCAAGCCUCUGUCCGCCGCCCCGGCCCGAGCUCUCCGACGAUUCCCUGCAGCCCCUCCACCUCACUCCACUACCUCCCGAGCUCCACCCACUCCUCUGGUGGCUUGCUGGUGGUUCACUGGUGUCGUCCGACCAUGUUGGAGCCGCUGGUGAAGCCCCACGACACCGUCGUCAUCAACUCCGGCGACCUUUGUUUUCUGCCACCCCUGGAGAGCUUCGUUCCAGCCCCAUCCGGCCACCCCUAGCCAUGCUAUGGGUACGGGCAGGUGCUCCUCGACCUCCUCUAUCUUCCUAUCCCUUCAGAUCUAGCCGUUGGACACUCCUCGCCGGAGAACGCUCCGCCUACACGCAACCUGCCUCUGUUUCUCUCUCCCCCUCCCUCUGACCUGACCAGUGGGGCCCUCUGUCAGCCUAUCAGCCGUGCGUGAAGCGGUAUGAGUGGUGGCGCAUUUCAGAAGUGCGCCAUCGACAUCACCCCCUGGUUUUCUUUUAUUUCAAAUUUAAAUCAAAUUUUGACCAGAACUUUGACUAGCUAUAACUCCUAAACCACAAGUCCAAAUGAGUUGAUUCUUUUAGCAUUGCGUUCUUACUGGAAAACUCUAGCAGCACAACCAAGAUGAGAUUUUUCUCUGCUGCCUAGAUUUUCUGGUAAAUUUCAGAAGUGUUCUUGAUGUUUUCUUUUUGUCAUUUUAUUUAUCUUCAAAAGGAGAAGCUUGUCUUGAAGAUAUCCAGGAGGAGUGUGAAGCUCCUCUGAACUAAGGCAAGCCACACAAACAUUUUCAUGGUGUCUUUGCAAUAUCCAUGAUUUUUUCAACUUGAAUAUAUGAUAUUUCUUGCAUAUAGUUAUUAAAUGAAUAAUACUUGUGUUAGUUAUUUUGUCAUGAGCAAGAUGCUUAGUUUACAGAAGUGAGUGCCUGAACUAUUGAGAUCUAGCAUGAGUAGUUGACUAUGUGAUUUUCUUAUGAGUAUGGUAUGAUGAGCAUCGGUAUUAUUUUCAUAUAUGCAUGAUGAGUUUCAUAUAGUAAAUGAUAAACCAAAAAUGAUGAGUGCAAAUAACCAAUAAGAAAGACUCAACAAAGUUUAGUGAUUAUUUGUGCAAGUAGAACUUUUGAUGAGGUUGAUCUGUUAUUUUCAAGUGAUAUGAGAUGCAUGUCAUAUGGUUGCAUGAGCAUAGCAUAUGGUGACUCGAGCAUUUUAUUUCAAGUUAAACAUGAUGUUAAUUGAACUUGAACAUAAAGUUGAUCGGGUCAUGGUGCCACUGAAUCAGGCUGACCAGUGCAAUCACAUUUGCCUUCAUUGGGAAGGACGUUAGUCGGUCCGUUGUCAUGCCUCUUGUUGGUGCCUCCAAUGAGGGAAGGUUAUGGGCAUGCGUUACCCUGGCCCGGUAAGCAGACAUAACCUUGUGUGCCCGUUGUUGUUGAGAUGGUACCUUGUCCCCGUUUGGGACCGUUUUGUUUUGCCACAACAGUGGCCAUUUUGCCACGACGGCGGUCGUGAUGCCUUUGGUAGGCACGGGGCCACCCGUGAGUUAGCCCAGUUGGGAGUUAGUAGGAGUGGUCGAGAGAGUGUCAUGGCAAUGGGAGAGUUUUGUCGGAAUGUCGUUGGUCCACCCGAAUGGGAGUGCGAGGCCAUGGGUUCUGUGGUGUGGGUAUAGUGUGCUAUACCUCUGCAGAGUGUAUUAAAUAUAUCGAUAGCCGUGCCCGUGGAUAAGGGCCCAGUUCGUAAGUAAGUCACACCAUGGAUCAACUUUUAUAAACUAAUCUUGCACACUAGGUUAUUUGCAUGGCACUGGUUAAAUCAUGAUGAUGUCAGUGAGACUGAUCGUUGUGGUUCCGUUUGUGAUCCGUGAAUGAUCACCGUUUGGUUACAAGGUAACCCGUUGAACCGAGUGUGGUUCCGUUUGUGAUCCGUGAAUGAUCACUGCUUGGUUGGGAGGCAACCCGUUGGUAAGAGAGUCUGAGGGACUCGAUGCACAAGUUUGGAUGCAUGGCAUGAGAAGCAUGUUGUUAUUUGCAUUUAACUUGAUUAAAUGUCAUGAUAUUGUUUGUCAUUAUGUUUAUGCUUGUUGUGAGCUUGCAAGUACAUUCAAUGUACUGACCUGGCGUGUUAUGCCAAAUUUCAGGAAAGUCUAACUGGAUCGGAGUGCUGCCGUGUCUAAAUCGUGUCCACACCGGUGUCCCUGUGCUAUGGAGUCCCACUUCAUCGUCAUUCCGCUGCCGCGUAGUUGUCGUGAUCGAGUCCCCUUUAUGUUCACUAAAUAUUGUACAUAUUGUUCAGCCGCACCGAGUGUGCUGCUUGGCCUCGCUACUUGAUGUAAUAUAGCACUAUGCUUCCGCUAGUAUCAAUAAAGCGAUUGUUUUCUGUAUGAAGAUGUUGUGCAUUGCCAGAAGACAUGAUCUCUGAGUUGGCAAUGCAAUGUAAACCGGUUGCUCUAAGCUGGGGUGCCACAAUGCUUGGUAUCAGAUCCGCGCUGACUGUAGGACACGCUAGACCCCGACACGUUAAGUUGAACGUUAGCUACUUUGCUAAUUGAGUGCCGGUAGUGUUUGCAUAUGGAUGCUGCAUUGCAUGCAUUUGAUUUAUUGUUAUUUCUAACCGGUUAAUGGUCGUGAGUGUAGAUGGCUCCAGUACCAUAUCCGUGCCAGUUGGAGUUGUUGCCAUACACUUCACCGCAUCUUCUUCAGAAUGUAUGGCGUCGACUUUAUCCUCACGGUGACGACCCAGCGUAUUGGGUGUACCGAGAGUGUCUAGCCGACUCAGUGUACGAGUAUCAUGCCGUGGUUACUCUGUGCACCAGUUUGUCCUCAGGCUCUUACACUCGUACUUCUCGGAGCGGUUAUGCAUCCACCGCCACUCAGGCUGUUCAGUUUGUUGUGUUCGAGAUUCUUGUUGAGUUAUGCUAUACCCAGGUUCGGAUGCAGAAUCACCCAGGUUUUCGCUACUACCCAUCUUUGCACGAUGAUGGUCGUGUCGCUUUCCUGUCAUUGAUCCGGCGCCUGAUAGUGACACUAGCCACCUUUCUCGAUAUAUCACUGCUAGUUACCUUCUGAUUCAUGAGCUGGCUCGAGAGCUAACUCGUGCUCGUACUGCUUUAGUCGCCACUAGAUCCUACCCCACUCCACCUUCUAUGGGAUUUACUCCUUAUAUUGUGCCCCGUUCUAGCUCACCUAUUUCCCUGGUUACUCCUCCGAGUAGCUCGGGCACCUCGACUGUGAACCCACAUAGUGCUCCUGCUGAGUGGGCGUCUCUUCUUGCUACCCCUGCAGCUCCCGUGAUCCCUUUGUUGGGGAACGUUGCAGAAAAUAAAAAUUGUAUACGCUUUCACCAAGAUCAAUCUAUGAGUUCAUCUAGCAACGAGAGAAAGGAGUGCAUCUACAUACCCUUGUAGAUCGCGAGCAAAAGCGUUCAAGAGAAUGGGGUUGAGGGAGUCGUACUCGUCGUGAUCCGAAUCACCGAUGAUCCUAGUGCUGAACGGACAACACCUCCACAUUCAACACACGUGCGGUUGAGGAAGACGUCUCCUCCUUCUUGAUACAGCAAGGGGAAAGGAGAGGUUGACGGAGAUCUAGCAGCACGAUGGCGUGGUGGUGGAUGCAGCAGCAAUCUUGGCAGAGCUUCGCCGAGCUUCUACGAGAGGGAGAGGUGUAGCAAGGGGGAAGGGAGGCGCCAAGAGCAUGGGUGCGGCUUCCCUCCCUCCCCCCUCUUUAUAUAGGCCCCCUGGGGGGCGCCGGCCCUAGGAGAUGGGAUCUCCAAGGGGGGACGGCGGCCAAGGGGGUGGCUUGCCCCCCAAGGCAAGUGGAGGCGCCCCCCACCCCUAGGGUUUCCAACCCUAGGCGUAGGGGGGCCCAAGGGGGGGCGCACCAGCCCACCAGGGGCUGGUUCCCCUCCCACUUCAGCCCAUGGGGCCCUCCGGGACAGGUGGCCCCACCCGAUGGACCCCCGGGACCCUUCUGGUGGUCCCGGUACAAUACCGGUGACCCCCGAAACUUUCCCGAUGGCCAAAACUGCACUUCCUAUAUAUAAUUCUUCACCUUCGGACCAUUCCAGAACUCCUCGUGACGUCCGGGAUCUCAUACGGGACUCCGAACAACUUUCGGGUUACUGCAUACUCAUAUCUCUACAACCCUAGCGUCACCGAACCUUAAGUGUGUAGACCCUACGGGUUCGGGAGACAUGCAGACAUGACCGAGACGCCUCUCCGAUCAAUAACCAACAGCGGGAUCUGGAUACCCAUGUUGGCUCCCACAUACUCCUCGAUGAUCUCAUCAGAUGAACCGCGAUGUCGAGGAUUCAAUCAACCCCGUAUACAAUUCCCUUUGUCAAUCGGUACGUUACUUGCCCGAGACUCGAUCGUCGGUAUCCCAAUACCUCGUUUAAUCUCGUUACCGGCAAGUCACUUUACUCGUACCGUAAUGCAUGAUCCCGUGACCAGACACUUGGUCACAUUGAGCUCAUUAUGAUGAUGCAUUGCCGAGUGGGCCCAGAGAUACCUCUCCGUCAUACGGAGUGAAAAAUCCCAGUCUCGAUUCGUGCCAACCCAACAGACACUUUCGGAGAUACCCGUAGUGCACCUUUAUAGUCACCCAGUUACGUUGUGACGUUUGGCACACCCAAAGCACUCCUAUGGUAUCCAGGAGUUGCACAAUCUCAUGGUCUAGGGAAAUGAUACUUGACAUUUGGAAAAGCUCUAGCUAAACGAACUACACGAUCUUUGAGCUAUGCUUAGGAUUGGGUCUUGUCCAUCACAUCAUUCUCCUAAUGAUGUGAUCCCAUUAUCAAUGACGUCCAAUGCCCAUAGUCAGGAAACCAUGACUAUCUGUUGAUCAACGAGCUAGUCAACUAGAGGCUUACUAGGGACAUGUUGUGGUCUAUGUAUUCACACGUGUAUUACGAUUUCCGGAUAACACAGUUAUAGCAUGAAUAACAUACAAUUAUCAUGAACAAAGAAAUAUAAUAAUAACCAUUUUAUUAUUGCCUCUAGGGCAUAUUUCCAACACCCUUCUCAUCCCGUGCCUACCUAUGGGGGAGAGCCCUCAAGGCAGCGUCGUCAUGUUACUUUUAACCCGAAGGUCUCGGUUAAUGUCGUAAGUUCAGGAUCUGGGGUCUGACUCAGGAGAGGAUCCAGCAGCACCGGCAGAGUCCUAGAGCAUCUGCGUAUCCGCAGUGGUCAUGUGAUGUACAUAUGUAGUUUUAUGAGACAUGUUGUAUCAGUGCAUGUAUGCGAGUAGUCGCACCCGUCAUGAUGUCUACCUUUCAUGUACGAGUCUAUGUAUAAUUAUGUUGGAACUUUUUAUUUGUUCGCUGUUUUUCCCGAUUUUUCUUUUGCUCUUUCGGGUUGUUGGUGGCUUUUCUUCCCAUUUUUCGAUGUUGCUCAUUGCUGUUGCUUUUAUUGGGAAAAUUAAACAGUAGGAUGACGCGGGGAGGCAGCAGCACGCAGGCUUGUGAGGAUGUCCCUGUUCAUCGCUCAGCAAGACAGGCAGGACACUCCCUCGAGCCGUAUCCGCAACCACCGCCUCCAUCGCCAAAUCCACCCUCCACUGAAUGAAUUAUGUACAUGUUUGAAGAAAGAAGGAAAAACGAUCUGAUUGAGAUGUUAAAAAGUGUGCAAGCUAUGGUUGGGCAGAAUGGGCAUCAGAAUGGUCAUCACUCAAAGCUGUCAGAUUUUCAAAGGACUAAGCCUCCCAGUUUCAAUCAAGUGGUUGACACUUUGGAAGCAGAUGAUUGGUUAUGAACUAUUGAAAAGAAGCUUGAAAUUGCUCGUACUGAAGAAGUUGACAAGGUUCCGUUUGCUACCCACUAUCUUGAAGGAGCCGCUGUUAUAUGGUGGGAUAAUUCUAGAGCUAUGUGGCCCGUGGCCGAAGAAAUUACUUGGACUAAUUUCAAGGACCAAUUCCGCAAGUACCAUAUUCCAGCUGGUAUCAUGAAGGUCAAGCAACACGAAUUCCUCGGUCUCAAGGAAAUCUGUUAGUAAGUGAAUAUUUGCACAAAUUGAACCAUCUGGCCCGUUAUUCUCUCUAUGAUGUGGCCACAGAAGAAAGGAAGAUCGACAGGUUCCUUAGAUGAUUAAAUCAACACCUCAUGAGUACUCUCUGCAUGCUCGACUUUCCAGAUUUCCAGUCUUUGGUAAACAAGGACCUCAUCGCAGAAAGGGAGCACAAGCUUGUGCAUGACAACUGACCCACAAAUAAUGACCACAAGCGUAAAUUCAAGCCUUAGAAGGACGGACAGCCCAUGCAGAAGGCCCGUACCAGGCAGCAGACUCAAGUGGAGUACAAACCAAAUUGGCAGCAGGAUGUGAACAAGACCACUACCCAAGUCAAAAAUGUCGUGACCAGUCCAGUGCACAAAGAGUGUCAGCGCAACAACUCCUGCUUUAAUUGUGGACAGACCGAACAUUAUGCCAGAUAGUGUCCCAAGAAGUCAAAUGCCCCGUUCCGGCCACAAGUCAACCACAUGGGGCCCUACCCUGUCCAGAAGACCAUCCAAGGGCAAGUUCAUCACCUCUCCGCAGAUGAAGCCCAGGAAAACCCUAAAGUCGUCAUUGGUAUGUUCCCUGUUAAUAACAUACCCGCAAUAAUUUUAUUUGGCUCUGGGGCUUCCCACUCUUUUGUUUCUCGGAGUUUCGUUGCCCGAAACAAAUUUCCUUGCUCGCUUUUGGGAAAAAGUAUGAUGGUUCAAUCCCCGGGAUUCGUGCUCCAAAGCAAUCUGGUCUGCCAAAAUUUGGAAAUUGAUAUUAAAGGAGUCAGUUUUCCAACUGCAUUGAUAGUCAUCAAGUCUGCCAAGUUGGAUGUUAUUUUGGGAAUGAACUAGUUGACCCAAUAUCAAGUGUGCAUCAACUGUGCAACCCAAGAAGUCACCUUGACAAGUCAGGAAGGGCAAUCCAUAAAAUUCUAUGCCCAUAGAAGUAUACCCAAAAGAGAAUUGGUCUUGACUGCUGUAGCUGAAGCAUUGAAUUUAAUUCCCGUGGUUAGUGAAUUUCCCGAUGUAUUCCCCGAGGAAUUACCAGGAAUGCCGCCAGACCGAGAGCUUGAGUUUGUAAUUGAUCUUGUGCCCUGGAUAGCACCAUUAUACAAAAAGUAUUAUCGGAUGCCUCCGUCCAAACUCAUGGAAUUAAAGAAACAGCUUGAUGAGAUGCUUCAAAAAGGAUAUAUCCGCCCAAGCUCGUCACCAUGGGGAUCACCUGCAAUGUGGACAAGAAAGACGGCAGUCUCAGAAUGUGUGUGGACUACCAUCAAUUUAACGAUGUUACCAUCAAGAACAAAUACCCGCUGCCAAGGAUUGAUGAUUUGUUCGAUCAACUUAGUGCGGCAAAAGUAUUUUCCAAGAGAUAUUUAAGGACCGGAUACCAUCAGCCCAAGAUCAAGAAGGAAGAUAUCCCUAAGACCGAAUUCACUACCCGAUACGGUCUGUAUGAAUAUACCGUGACAUCUUUCGGUCUCACAAAUGCCCCUACCUUUUCAUGCAUAUGAUGAAUAAGAUAUUCAUGGAUUUCUUGGAUAAGUUCAUGGUGGUUUUCAUCGAUGACAUUCUCAUAUACUCAAAAAGCGAUGAAGAGCACAAGGAACACCUCCAAGCAGUCUUACAAAGACUCCGUGACCAUCAGUUGUAUGCAAAAUUCAGCAAGUGUGAAUUUUGGCUCAAAGAACUCGGAUAUUUGGGACAUGUUAUGUCAGCGGAAGGCAUCAUUAUGGAUCCCAGCAAACUGAAAGACGUACUUGAUUGGGCAGCACCCACGACUGUAUCCAAAAUUCAGAUUUUUCUUGGAUUAGCCGGAUAUUACCACCGGUUCAUUGAAGGAUUUUUCAAGAUUGCCAAGCCAAUGACAGAGCUCCUCAAGAAAGACAAGAAGUUUGAAUGGACUAAGGACUAUGAGAAGAGCUUUAACGAGCUAAAAACCAGAUUAACACCAGCACUGGUACUGACUCUCCCCAGACAUUUACCGCAGCUUUGAUGUGUAUUGUGACGCCUCCAAAAAAGGUAUUGGAUGUGUGCUCAUGCAAGAUGGCAAGGUGGUAGCCUACGCAUCUCACCAUCUACGACCCCACGAAGGGGAUUAUCCUACCCAUGAUUUGGAGUUGGCCGCUAUUGUGCACUCUCUAAAAAUUUGGAGACAUUACCUCAUUGGAAAAAGAUGUCAGAUAUUUACCAACCACAAGAGUCUCAAAUAUAUAUUUACUCAGCCAGACUUAAACCUUCGACAGUGAAGAUGGCUCGAGUUAGUCAAGGACUAUGAUCUGGGAAUAAAUUACCAUCCGAGCAAAGCUAAUGUGGUUGCUGGUGCCCUCAGUCGCAAGCCUGCCAGUUAAAAUGCCAUGAUGGAGUCCUUGCCUCCUGAACUCCAACAAGAGAUUGCUCAGCUUAACUUGGUAAUUUUAAACGUUGUCCUUGCAAAUAUUUUGGAAGUAACUCCUACUCCCGAGGAUGAGAUUCACAUGGCCCAAGCUGACGACAAAAUUCUACAAGGUCAUCUCAGGUGUCUGUAAGAAGGCAAGACUCAGGAUUUAUCUGAGGACGCGCAAGGUACACUCAGGUUUCGAGGACGGAUAUGUGUACCCGAGCAAGCAGACUUGAGAAAGAAGAUUUUAGCAGAAGCACACGAAUCCUUGUAUUCAAUACACCCGAAGGUACCAAAAUGUACAAAGACCUUCAACAGAUAUUUUGGUGGGAUGGAAUGAAAAAGGACAUCGCAUAUUUUGUCGCUUGUUGCGACAUAUGCAACAAAGUAAAGGCGGAACACCAGAAACCUGCCGGACUUCUCCAACCUCUACCCAUCUUGCAAUGGAAAUGGGAUGAUGUCUGCAUGGACUUUGUCACCGGUCUACCCAGGACUCAUCGAGGCAAUGAUGCAGUAUGGGUCAUAGUGGACAUGCUGACUAAAGUGACUCAUUUUAUUCCCAUCCGCACCACAUAUCGAGCUGAUCAACUUGCACAAUUAUAUGUGUCCCGGAUUGUCAGUCUGCAUGGAGUGCCAAGAACAAUCACUUCAGACCGAGGUUCCCUCUUUACAUCCGCCUUCUGGUCCCGACUCCAUCAAGCUUUGGGGACCGCCCUCAAAUACAGCACGGCCUAUCACCCACAGACAGAUGGUCAGACUGAGCGGGUAAAUCAAAUCCUUGAAGACAUGCUUCGAGCAUGUGCUUUAGCCCAUGGACCCAAGUGGGAAGACUGUCUGCCAUAUGCGGAAUUCUCUUACAACAAUAGUUUCCAAACCAGUCUAAAGAUGUCAUUGUAUGAAGCUUUGUACGGCCGUAAGUGCCGCACUCCAUUAAACUGGUCCCAAACCGGGGACAGUCGUAUCUUCGGAACUGAUUUAAUGUUGGAGGCGGAGAAACAAGUCAAGGAAAUCUGAGAUAGACUGCAGCUGACUAAGUCACGACAAAAGAUCUAUUAUGAUGCCAAACACCGGCAAGUCGGUUUUGAGCCCGGAGAACACGUGUAUCUCCGAGUCACACCAAUGAAGGGAAUCAAGAGAUUUCAGACCCAGGGCAAAUUGGCACCAAGAUAUAUUGGUCCGUUCCCAAUCAUGACCAGAGUUUGCAUAGUUGCGUAUCAGUUGGAAUUGCCACCGGAAUUGUUAGAAGUACAAAAUAUGCUCCACGUCUCAUAGCUAAGAAUGUGUAUUUCACCACCCAAGAGGAGGACUGAUAUGUCAUAAAUUGAGCUUGCCAAAGAUUUAACCUAUGAGGAGAGACCGUUUGACAAUAACAUUUAGGUCUCACGUUUACUCAUAUUAAUGGCAUAAUCAACUAGCGAGUAAUAAUAAUAGAUCUUGGAUGACAACACUUUUUUCAAAACAAUCAUGAUACAAUAUGACAAAAUGGUAUCUCGCUGGCCCUUUCUAAGACCGCAAAAUAUAAAUGCAGAGCACCCCUGAAGAUCAAGGACUGACUAGACAUUAUAAUUCAUGGCAAAAGAGAUCCAGUCACACUCAUACUCAACAUCAAUUAAUAACAAAGCAUACAAAUGACAGUGGUUUUAACAUCCCAAAUUUUCAAUUUGGAAUGUUAUACAUUAGAUCAUCAUUGCAUAUCAUAUUUUUAUUGCAUUUUGGGUUGAUCCUAGAAAUUCUACGCAACUCAAGGACCCACGGAAAGAGUUGGGGAUUCCGUUAUUUUCAUAUUUGAGUUUUCUCAAAUUUUGAAAAGAGGAUCGUUUGAUUUUAAUUAUUUUCUCUUCGAAUAUUUCUUAUAUGAAAAUAAAAGAGAGGGGAUAAAAUGACUUUCCCAAAAUAAAGAAAUAUUGAAAAAUGUAUUUUUUUUCCUAAUUCUAAUAGAAAGAAGUAUACAGAUCACCCUCAAAUCCACUCUUUGGGAUACAUACCCCCCUGAACUCAAAACCGGGAUAAAUAACACCCUCAAAUCAUCAAAACCGGCUUAAUAACCCCCUUGAGUGGUUUCUGUCUAAUUUUGAGUGGUUUUUGUCCCCAUGAUGCUGAUUAGGCGGUGACUGGGCAGAAAAUGCUGAGUGGGUCCCGUUAGUCAGUUGCCUCUCUCAUUNNNNNNNNNNNNNNNNNNNNNNNNNNNNNNNNNNNNNNNNNNNNNNNNNNNNNNNNNNNNNNNNNNNNNNNNNNNNNNNNNNNNNNNNNNNNNNNNNNNNNNNNNNNNNNNNNNNNNNNNNNNNNNNNNNNNNNNNNNNNNNNNNNNNNNNNNNNNNNNNNNNNNNNNNNNNNNNNNNNNNNNNNNNNNNNNNNNNNNNNNNNNNNNNNNNNNNNNNNNNNNNNNNNNNNNNNNNNNNNNNNNNNNNNNNNNNNNNNNNNNNNNNNNNNNNNNNNNNNNNNNNNNNNNNNNNNNNNNNNNNNNNNNNNNNNNNNNNNNNNNNNNNNNNNNNNNNNNNNNNNNNNNNNNNNNNNNNNNNNNNNAAUCGCAGGCGCCCUCCGCUGCCAUCUUGUUGUUUGCAGCUCGUCCACCACCGGCGGAACCAAACCAUGUGUCCAGGUGCGUGACUCCAUCUCUGCUGCUCCUCUGUUUCGUUUCUAGUCUUGUUCGCCGGGUAAAUCGCGGCGCCAGUGUACGACCGCGUGCGUCGUAGAGGUAUGGGUUCGGGUGAGGGGAAUGGGGCGUCUCUGUACUAGGGAUUUAGGGGACCAAGUUCACAACCAAGCUCACUGCAUGUGUCACAGCAAAGAUCAUUGGUUGUGUCACAACCAAGCUCACAGAUAUAUGACAAGCAUGCUCCAGCCAGCAAGCCUAGAUCAGCAAAGAUUCAGAGAAGUGUUGCUACUCCAUUUGUUCCACCUAAACAAGUUACAAGCUUGCCAUACCAUUGUGUCUUCAAUCUAGCUGCAUACAAGGAAGCUAAGAAAGGCAGAGCAGGGCCUCCAGUUUGAUGUUGAAGGAGUCUUUUUUGUAUCAGGAGUCAUGUCAUGUACUAUAUAUGCAGUCAUGUAUUAUCUGUACUGUCGGCCAACUAUAUUGGUUCUGGAUUGAACAUAAACCAUACUAUUUUUUUCUGGAUUGAACACCAAAUAUAUAUCUGUAAUCCUAUUUGGUUCUAUAUUAUUAACAUAGUACUUGUGCAUUGCUUACAUGACAGCACACAUACAUGGCAACACACAUAGGAAUAUCCGACGGCACAUACAUGAUGGCACACAUAAAACAUAGCACAAGUACCAAAAUUUGAUUUUUCAUAACAUCACUCAAUACAAAUUCUGAAUGUUUUCAUAACAGAACAUACAUUCAGGACAUCAACUUCUCCAACAUACAUUUUGCAUCUUGCUUAACAGCAUACAUAAAUGAGUCCUUCACAAACAAUUUUUUUCAUGAUGUAAAUCAUUUCCAAAAGAAGGAAAUGGCAAAGCAGAACAGAGCAACCACAAGGAACAACUGCACUUUCUGAAUCUUGUUCUUCAGGACAACAACUUCUCCAUGAUGCUUGGCUUCCAAAUCACGCAGAUACGCGUCCAACAUCUUAUUCUUCGACAAGCUGCCGUUCCUUCAGUCGAGACACAACAUGCUCACAAAUGAAGUGUGUGGAUCAUCAUGCCAAAGUAAAUAUCUGCAGUCGACUCCCUGGGUUCACAAGAGCGAGUGAACAAUUACCAACAAAAUCAGAAGCAAAAAGAAUCAGAAGCAACAGAUUAACAGAGAGGAAAUUUGAGUUGAACCAAGUGCACACGCAGAGAAGCACUAGUGCUUUGCUGCAGUUGUAGUACCUUGUCCCUGGGUUCUUCGGGCUCCAUGAGAUCCAUCUUGGUUCAGCUGCUUCAGUUCACUUGAGUUGUCAGGCAACUGAACAUUUCUUUCUUGAAUGCCACAACAAGAACCUGUUUGAUGCCAAGUAUUUGGUCGAAUUGCCAUCAGUACUACUAGAACAGACUGUAGUCUUGAAUAUGAAUAAACAAACACGCAGCAGAUACCUGCAAGAUUCUCGUGAUGGAGCUUCCAUCGGGCAACUGAUUCCUGUAGAAAGAGAAGCCAGCCAGCCAUAUGAGCAUCCCCAGCAGCACCUACAGUGCACACAGGGUGAAGCCGAUGUCCAACCACACGAGGAGCACUAGGCCAACGAAGCCGCC